UUAAGAUUACGUUCUUGCUUCUCUCUAAGUAAGUUUCUUCCUUGCGCUCUUUCCUGUCUUUCUCUCAACUGAUUUAUUUUCCUCCAUGCAAUGUUCUCAUUCUCAUUAACCAUAAUCUUUCACUAUAUACUACUGAAUUUUCUUCAUAUUUUCCAUCUACUCAUCCUGUAGUUAAUUCCUAACACUCAAUGCUAUUGUCAAUCCCUGACAGCGGCGCCAAAAUGUGAUUGUUGUUUUACUUAUUCUGAAAGAAACCUCCCAGAAUAAAUCCAUAUAGGAGAAUUUGAACUUAAGAAAAGACUAAGGGCAUAAAUUUUACUUAUAAGGGUCACAUAAUUAACUGUAUUUUGAACCAUUAAAAUACUAAAAAAUACUACAAUGCUUCUUCCUAGUAACAAUACUCCUCCAUCAAUUGAUAACCACAGUGUGCAACCCUGCACUCUCAAAAGACCGCUCAAAACUCAAUAAAUUCCAUCCAACACCAGAAAUAACAGACUUUUUUCCAACCAAUUCGAAUUCACAGAAUUCUUGUAAUUACAGCCUUUCUCUAUCGAAACACACACACACAACUCUCAAUAAACAACAAUCAUAAUCUCCCAUCUAGAAUCAAUCUUCCAAUAACUUCUCAUAUAAUUCAAUCACUCAGUACUCCAAUUGCAUAAUCAAUAAUUCAUAAAUUAAUCUCUGAUUUAUUCCACAGACUCACUUUUUAGUAUUUAAAAACUAUCCAUUAUUCUUCAACAACAAAGAAAACAAAAGAAACAAAGAGGAAGCACCAAGCUUAACCCCGGCUCAUGACUAUUAUAGUCUGGUAUUUUCUUCCUCCCUCCCAUCUUCCUUAUAUUACCCCGAGAUACCAACUCUUAUAUUAUAGAUGAUAACUACUUUUCCUAACUAUUCAUCCAUUCUACCUGCUGAACCACCUUUUCAGCAGUUAUCUAUUCUUGUUUACACUAUACACUAGAUAUCUACAUUCUGAAAAUAACUAUUUAUUCUACACUUAUCAAGAAAAAGGUGUAAUCCACUCUUAAUCAAGAUUAGACAAAGCUCUGAUAUUAUAAGUGUACACUUGUUAAUCUGUCAAGGACAAGAACAUAAUAAAGACAAAUAAACAAGUGAGACUGCUUUCAAAGAAAGAUGACAAAAUAGAAAUAACUUGAUAUGUAUAUUAAAAAAGAAACUGGAAUGGCUAUUGCCAAAAGAUAAGAAAACUAGAGAUCCUUGAAACUAGACUAGUGUAAGCCAAUAAUUAUAUAUAUAAAUGAUAGUAGUAAGUAAAAGUAGGUAAAAGUAAGUUAAUUCUAUAAUAUUUGAUAUAAAAGCUUCCUAAAAGCUUCAUAAAUACUACUUUGACUUUAUAGGUGUCUUUAAUUGACUUUUUGGAUUAGAAACAUGGUCAACAAGUUAGCCAUGUACCACACAUGUUGUUAGCUUAAAGACCAAGCUAACUAUGUGCCUCACAUGUAGAAAAACUUGUCUUGUAUGUUAGUGACACUAGUCUAGUUUCAAGAGUCUCAAGUUUUCUUGUCUUUUGACAAGAAGCUAUUCUAGUUCUUUUUAAUAUACAUUCUUUCUUAUUUCUAUUUUGUCACUUUUUCUUUGACAUGGAUUUCAUUGGUUUAUGCAUCAUCUUCUAAUUCAUGUCCUUGACAGAUUGACAAGAAUACACUUACAGUGUUAGAACUUUAUCUUAUCUUUAUUAAGAGUGGAUUACUCAUUUUUCAUGAUAAGACAUAAGCCUAUUAAAAUUUAUGGAUUACCCUCUUUUAAAUUGAUAUUGUUCUUAAUAUUUUAUUUAUCCUCAAGUCCUUUCUUCUAUUUCUCUUGAGUAGUGUUAGAUAUUUAAUUGAGUAUUAUUAUUAUAGAGCUUCUUGAAAUAAAGAUAGCAAUGGCACAAAUGUAAGAACAAUUGAAGGAGUUGAUACUUGUAAUGUAUUAACUUAGCUUACUACCACAAGGAUCAAUAAGAAUGGCAAGAAGUGAGGAUAUAGAUAUGUUUAUAGUUGCUUCAACAUCUACACCAAAUCAUGUCCCUCUACCUAAAAUGUCGUGAUGUAAUAUGACUAUAUGGUGAAAGAUGAUAAUAUGGAUCUUGUUAUAGAAGAGCCAAGUUAAAAGAUAAAAUAAAAAAAUAUAGAUAAAAGAUAGGGAGAUAGUAAAACUUUUAGCAGUAAUACUACCUUUUCAGAAAAGUAACUUCUACUUAUUUUGUAGGACCAUAAAUAAGGCAAAACAAAGUAGAUUGGAAAAGAAAAUAACAUAAGCAUCUUGAAGAGGAAGUUUAGAAUAAAUUCUAAUAAAGUUUACUUAGAAAAACUAGAUAUUGAUACUCUGAGAGGGCUGGUUAUGAACUAGGAUCGAAAUCAGACCCUGAGGCACAAAACUGAGUCUCGACGAUGACUCCAAGGUUCUUUUAUAAAUUAGAGAGUAGGAUGUGAUAGAAAAUUGGAUAAGAUUUCUAUAAGCAUUGAUUUUGGAUAAUUUGAAGUUUUUAUGACUUUGUAAGAGCUUUACAGAGUCAAGAUUAUUUUCGGAUGACUUGGGUUUUGUGAAUUAAAAUAGGAUUGAUGUUUCUAGUAAUUUCAAGAGUUUUGUAAUAGAUCUAAAAGUGAAAUAAUUUGAGGUAAUGUUCAUAGUUGUGCUUAAUAUUUAUUGUAAAUCUUAGCUCGAUCUAAUGGUUAAAUUGAGGAUUAUUGAGGUUUAAGUGAGUCAAGGUCUCAGAAAGUAGAAUUUUAGGUCUAGUGAGGGUUUUUAAGAUUUCUUGCAAUGUGUUUAUUGAAUUGAAGUGAAAUUUAUGUAUAAGGAUAUUAGACUUGUUUUUCUAUGUAUAUGAAAAUUUUGAAAUCAAUCAAAUAGUGAAAAGGAGAGAUAUUGACGCUAGAAGAUUCGCAUCAAGGUUGGAGAAGGAGGUUGGCUAAUACCCAAGCACGUUUUUGAGGUUAUUAUCUAUUUGGUAAUUUCGAUCUUUUUCAAAAAUUUUGUGUUUGUUUUCAAUUUAGUUUUUAAGAAGUAUGUAAAAUUUGAAUUAAGAUCGAUGGUUCAUUCAUUAGUUAUUGAGGUUUAAUUCUCUUGUAGAAAUUACUAGGAUUUGAUUAGGAUUUGAUUUAGGGUUAGGAUUUGGUUAGGAUUUGAUUUAGGAUUAGGAUUUGAUUAAGGCUUGGUUUAGGAUUUAGGAUUAAAGUUAGGGUUUGGUUAGGAUUUGAUUUAGGGUUAGGAUUUAUGAUUUGGUUAGAAUUUGAUUUGGAAUUAGGAUUUCAUUUAGGAUUUAGGGUUUGGUUAGGAUUUGAUUUAGGAUUAGGGUUUGGUUUAAGAUUUAGGAUUUGGUUUAGGAUUUAAGAUUUGGUUAAGAUUUGAUGAAGAUUUAAUUUAGGGUUUAGGAUUCUAUUUAAGUUUAUGUAGGAUUUAAGAUUUAGUUAGUUUUUGGCCUAAAGUCUGAAUGAAGUCCAAUAAGAUUUCAACUAGGACUAAAUUAAGAUUGAAUUGAGAUGUAUUUGAGAUAUGUUUGUAAUCAUUCUAAUAUUUUUUUAAGAUUUCUUAUUAUUUCUUUGGAAUUUCUUUGAGGUUUCUUUCAAUUUGAUUAAAGCUUCUUUAGUAUUAUUAGUUAUAUUAGAAUUAAGAUUUUGUUGUUGCAAUUUUCAUUCUACCUUCUACAACUAGGUGUCCGGAGCAUUCUCAAGCAAGACUUUACAUAUUAUAAUAAUAGUGGAACAUCUUUCAAGUGUUGGAGAACUAAGAAUUACCUUGCUCGAGAAGUUUGAUGGUAUAAGAUCCAAAUUUUGAAGAUUUAUCAAUGAAGUAUAACUUGUGAGUGAACUUCAACCUUAAAGCUAUCCAAUUCCAAGAUCACAAGUUAGAUUUAUUAGUACACUUCUUUCAAGUUUAGCACUAUCAUGGUUUUUAUCUUUUCUUGAAUAAUAAGAUCUAAUAUUGGAUAAUUUCGAGGCAUUUUUUGGCAAAAUUUUAGCCUACAUAUAAAAAACAUGAUGCAACUUAUGUUCCAACCAAUAAGAUCCAUAUUUUGCAACAAGACAAUUGAUCAAUAAUAUUAUAUGCUUCAUAGUUUGAAUAACUUGUAAUUGAUAUCAAGUCAGAUGAUGCUACACUUAUUAGCCAAUUUUAUAAAUUAUAAUAUGAAGUAAAGAAAUUGAUACUCAACUUACUUGAUCCUUAAAUAUUGAAUCAAAAAAUUGACUUUUUUGUGAAGUACAAUAAUUGACUUUUUGAAUUUUGAAUUGUAAGUCACACAAGUAGGCCUCAAAAUUACUAUAAUUUGAUGGCAAUACCAAUGUCUCCUCAACACAUACAUUCAAAAGUAAAGGAUAUGAAAAUUGAUGCUAUACAUUUGAAACCUCUUAUUAAAUAAGAAAAGACUUGUUGCUGUCAAGAAGGAUUGUGCUUAUAUUUUGGAGAAUCUAAACACACUACUGAACAUUAUCUAAAGAAGCGAUAAAACUACAAAAUGAGGAGUACAGCUAUCAAAGAAGAUAAUAUAUUACAAAAUAAAUUUGUCUACCUACAAUAAGGACCAUGCAGCUAAAAUCUUAUACAAUUUCUAAUGAAGAUCGUAUCCUCUCCUUAUUUUAUAAUAGAUUUGCAUUUAGGACCUAAUAAUUGUAAAGCCUCUGCCUUGAUAGAUUCAAGAACCUCAGUUUGUUUUUUAGAUGUAGAAUUUGAUUAAAAUCAUAAAUUAAUAUUAAUAUAAAAAACUAAAUAUGUUCAUACAGAAGUCAUAGAUAGUCAUCCAUUGUCUUAUGGAGAUGUUAUUCACCAAAUAAUUUUUAUAGAUGUAGCAAUAAAUAAUCAUAGUAGUUGCAUAAUCUUUAAUAUAAUUAGAUCUUCCUCUAAUCUAGUCAUUUUAGGUUUAUUAUGAUUAAAAAAGUAUAAUCCUUAUAUAGAUUUGAUUUCUUCUACUCUUGACUUUUCUAAAAGUAUAAUUAAGAGUAAAAUUAAUCAAGUAAAAAGUCAUAAGUCUAACACAAUAAAACUUGUGUUUGUUGGUGCGAGAGCUUUCCAACAUGCUGCAAAAGAAGGAUCACCUUGUGUCAUUUAUGCCACAGCUUUUUCUAAUGAUAUAAAGACUUCAAGUAGCAUUCCAAGCCAAUAUUAAGAAUUUCAAGAUAUAUUUCAAAAGAAGAAUGGGGAUACUCUUCAGAACAUCAUUCCUAUAACUGCUCAAUUGACCUUCAAGAAGGAGAACAACUGCCAUUUGGACUAAUCUAUAGUUUAUUAUAAAAUGAAUUGGCUGAACUCAAGAAAUAUUUUAAAGAGAAUGUGGCUAAGAAUUUUAUAUGAUAUUCUAAAUUUCCAAUAGGAGCUCCAAUCUUAUUUGUAAAGAAGAAAGAUAGAUCAUUGCAAAUAUGUUGAUUAUUGAGGACCCAACAAGAUUACCAUCAAGAAUAGGUAUCCUCUACCUUUGAUAUCCAAACUUCUCAAUCAACUGAAUUAAGCUAAGAUCUAUACAAAAAUAGAUCUAUAGAUAGUAUACAAUUUAGUACAUAAUAAAGAAUAAAAGAUUAUAUUUUGAACUAAGUAUGGAUAUUUUGAAUACAAUGUCAUGUCUUUUGGACUUACAAAUGCAUCAGUAGCUUUUCAACUUCUAAUAAAUGAUAUUUUUUGAGAGUUUUUGGAUGAUUUUGUUGUCUAUUAUCUAGACAAUAUCUUCAUCUAUUAUAAUAAUAUAGAUGAACAUGAAUUUCAUGUUUGUUGUGUAUUAUAAAAAUUAAGAGAUACAUGACUUAUGCCAAGAUAGAAUAGUGUAUAUUCCAUACUACUCAAGUAGACUUCUUAGUAUACAUCAUUUUAAAUGAUGAACUUGUGAUAGAUUCUAAGAAAGUUCAAACUAUUAUGAUUUGGAAGAUUCCAAAAAUAAUAAAAGGUGUCUCAUGCUUUUUAGACUUUGUUUUGGGUGUUGUAUUAUUACAAAUGGAAACAGAUGAUAAACUUCAACCAAUAGCUUUUCAUUCCAAAUUUUUUUCAAGAAGUGAGAUUAAUUAUGAAAUCCACAAUAAAGAGCUUCUUACAAUUGUGGAUUUAUUUCAAGAAUAGCAUCAUCAUCUAAAAGGCGCUUCUAAUCCAGUCACUAAGCACACAGACCACAAGAAUCUCAAGUACUUCAUGUUAGCAUGUAUUUUGAAUUAUUGCUAAGUCCAUUGGAACAUGUCUUUAUCAAGAUUUGAUUUCAAGUUCACAUAUUGAUCCAGAAAAGAAUAUUUAUUAGAUACUUUUUUUAGACAGUCUUAUCUUAUACCAAAAGAAAGAGAUGCAUCUUUUGAUCAACAAAGAAUGAUUUUCUUGAAAUCAAAGUAUUUUCACCUUUAAAUAAUGAAAUCAACAUUGAAUAUUGAUUUGACCCUUGUGAAACAAAUCCAAUCAAGUAUGUCUUUUAAUCUUCUUCUUUACAAUAUCAAGAAUCUUUCUUUAAAGGCCCAAGACACUUCUAAGUUUGAGUUCAAAAAUAACCUACUCUUUUUUGAAAGUUGAUUAUAUGUUCCAAAAGAAGAAGUACGAUUAUGUAUUCUUCAAGCAUGUCAUGACUUUCCAGCAGUGGGACAUUUUAGAUACAAUAAGACUAUAGAACUUAUAUCCAGAGAUUUUUGGUGGCCACAAAUAUGAAAGGAUGUCAAAGACUUUGUUCAAUCAUGCAACAUUUGUUAAAGAUCAAAAACUCCCCGUCAUCGAUCUUAUGGACUUCUUCAACCAUUAUCUAUUUUCAAACAACCACGGUCUUCUAUUUUUAUAGAUUUCAUCGAAGAUCUUUCAAUUUCAAGUUCUUAUGACUCUAUAUUCAUGAUAGUAGAUCAUUUUACCAACAUGGCACAUAUUGUACCAUGUAUAAAAUCUAUCACAAGUGAAGAAACAGCUAAAUUCUUUCUUGCCAACAUUUAUUGCUAUCAUGGAUUAUCCAAGGAUAUCAUAUCAAAUAGGAAAAUUCGAUUUGUAUCAAGAUUUUGGCAGACUUUUUUCAAGAUUCUAAAAGUAAAAAUAAAAUUAUUUUCAACAUUCUAUCCUCAAACUGAUGGACAAAGAAAGAGUAUUAAUAAAGUUUUGAAGUAGUAUUUAAGAUGUACCAUCAACUAUCAAUAAGAUGAUUGGACAAUUCUUUUUUUAUUAGCAAAGUUUGCUUAUAAUAAUAUAUUAUAUUUUUUUACAAAAUAAAUAUAUUUUUUUACCAAUUAUGGUUAUCAUCUACAACUUGAUACUUUUGACUUUUUAGAAGCUAACAAUCUUGUGGCAGAUGAUUUGGUAAAUUAUUUUUCAAAGCUAAAUGCAAUAAUUAAGACGUAGUUAAAAGUAGCUCAAAAACAACAAAAGAUCAAUGCAAAUGUUCAUAAAAAGGAACAACCACCAUUCUAAAUGAGUGACAAGGUAUGAUUACUUCAUUGCAAUAUUAAGACUAUUCAUCUUUGUAACAAGUUAGACUAUUGUAAACUUCGACUAUUUUCUAUUUAUACACAAAUCAAUCCAAUUGCAUAUCAUUUACACUUACUAGAGUCAGUAAAAAUCCAUCUAGUAUUCUACGUAUUUUUUCUUGAAUCAUACAAUAUAGUCGACAUACCAAGAAGAAGACAAGUGCCACUUCUUUCUAUAGAAGUGGACAAUAAUGAAGAAUUUGAAGUGGAAGAAGUCUUAGACUUAAGGUGGCGCCAAAAUAAGUUGAAAUAUCUUGUUCAUUGGUGUGAAUACAAUAUUAGUGAAUGCAUAUGGGAGCCAGCAAAGAAUCUUACAAAUGGUGAAAGAAGGUAGACGCUUUUUAUCGAUAAUAUCCAUUAAAAUCAAAAUGAAGACCUUUUCUAUAAAAAAAAUAAGAUUUGAGCAAGAUAACAUUCUACUUUCAAUAUUUGUUUGUAGCUUCUUUGUAUUUGUGAUGUUCAAGAGAUGGAAAACCAACAAUCAAUGGAUUUUACUAAAAAACCUUUGUUUGCUAACCUGUUGAAAGAGACAUUGUGAUUAUCACAACCUUCAAGUCAACGCAAUCAAGAUGAAGAUCCUCAAGAAUGACAUGUUUUUCUUCAAAUAGAUGGCAAGAUACAACGUGUUUGGUAUCACGACGAUGGAAGAAACUCUUGAUAUUUGGUAAUUUUAUUAGAAGUAAAAACAAUUCGUAACGGUAUUCCAAAUGUUUUAUUUGAAGGAAGUUAUGAAGGCCUCAAUAAUGACCAAAUAAUAGGGUGGUCUUUUCCUCAUGAUAUGAGAUACUAUCAAUGGUUGAGAGGCUCUAUCAACCAUCUUCAAAGAGAACAAAUAUAAGAGUAUGUGGCAAAUAUAAUUUGUCGCAUCAUAGAUUUUCUCAACAUAUGAUGAAAGCUCUUUAUGGAACUCGUCCUUAGAAGGGAGGUAAUGUCACAGACAUACACAUAUAAGCCAGGAAUUACCUAUAUAAAUAAUUAUAUUUAAAUAAUAAUAAAUAAAAAUAUGUCAAUUCUAUAAUAUCUUCUAUAGAAGCUUUCUAUAAACUUUAUAGACAAUGCUUUGAUUUUAUAGGUAUCUUUGAUUGAUUUUUUAGAUUAGAAACGUAAUUAAUAAGUUGGUCAUUUUCUACAUAUAUUAAUAGCUUGAAGAAUAAGCUAACUAUAUAGCCUACACACAGAAAACAUGCCUUAUAAGCUAAGGCAUGUGUCUUGCAAAGUCAACACAUAUUAGAGAACUUAUAGAACAUCACCACAUAGCUCCUAAUUAGAUAAUAUAUAUAGAGGCAAGAGUGAAGCCAUCUUCACUCUUGUCUAUUCCUUUCUUAUUUCUAAUCUAAAUUCAAGAGUCUAAAGAUUUCUUGUCUUUUGGCAAUAAGCCAUUCCAGUUUCUUUUUAAUGUACGUACUUCCUUAUUUCUAUUUUUUUACUUUUUCUUUGACAUGGAUUUUAUUGGUUUAUACAUCAUUUCUAGUUCAUGUCCUUGACAGUAGGUCAAUUAUCAAACAAGCCGGGUAGUAGAAGCUAAGUAUUAGUUGGACCAUUGACCUCUGCCUUCAGAGUGAAGCUAUAGCCAUUAAAGAUCUGACUUAGCUCCAAUGCACUUCUUCUUGUUGUUUAGUUUUAUCUAGACUACAUUGUAACCUUCCAUGAUUUUUGAUGUUGUAUCAAAAAGUACACUAAGUCAAUUGAUUCUUCUUUAUUCCUUUAAAUUUUAUUUCUUAUAUACAAAAAAAGUGAAGGUAGUCGAUUAGAAGUCAAGAUAUUGCAACAUAAUGGUCCUCUUUCUUAUUAGCUUACUUUGAUUUUAUAUUUGAAGUUACAUUGUCAGGGUAGAGAGAAUUUACUUCAAGAAAAUGCUAGGCUUUUAGCUAUUACUAAUCGUUCAAUCAUGCUUCAAAAUAAGGAAAGUCCUAAGUUUAUAUAUAAAUUUUUCCUUUUGAGCAAUUACACCAAAUACACAAGCCUCAAGUAACCAACAACACCAAAUAUAUGAUAAAAUUUUCUAAAACCUUGUAUAUCCUUAUGUGGAAAUUUUCUUGAACUUCAACACCUCAUAUCACUUAAUCCGACUAUCGGAACAAAUUCAAAUUUUGUAUGAGGUACUGAUGUAUUCUUAUUAACUUCUACAACAAAUUUCAACUGCAAAUUCAUUGUGGAUCUUGAGAUAUCUUGAAAACCCUAGCAGUCGUUUCAAAUCUUUAUUUUUAUAUAUCCACGUGCAAUUUUCUUUAUAUCUCACGAAAUAUAAGCUCAAAUUCCACGAAAUUGUAUGUAUAGCUUUUUAACACAAAAUGUUACAUUUUCCAAAAUGGUUGAGCUAAAAAUUCAUCCGAAAACUCAAGUUAUGGCUCCAACCAUUAUUAUAAACAAAACCGCUCACUUACCGCCUUUGAUUUAGAAGUGCCGCCUUCAACUCCUUACAACUCCUUUAUAUGAACUCCAAAAGCAAUAACUUUUUUAUGAAAGAUGUAGGCCUUAAAAUCGCUGUUCCAUUGGCACCUUCCGAACUUCAAAAACUAUUGUACAACUCCUCGUAUCCUCAAAAGAAUAACAGUAUAUCUUAAAUUAAUACCUUAACUUCAAACGGCUAUAACUUCUUCACCCUAACUCCAAAUCCUCUAAUUUUUACACAUAAAUUGUACCCCAAAUUCUAAACUUUAUAACUUUAGCUUCUAAGUUCCAAAUGCCUUCUUUGAAGUCGCCGAAACCCUUGUUAAGGUCACAGGCAGCGUCCUUAAAGCCCAUUGGGCAUGGUAUUCGACCAAUAGAGAUGAAGUUUCCCAUUUCUUGUCUUCAUCCGACUAUACCUUGCUUUCAUCCCUCCCAAUUAGCCUCGUACAAGUUUAAAUUUUUAUCCUUAGGCUUCCACCUUCUCCCAAGGCUUCAUACUAAACAUUUUGGUCCUAUAUUUUUUUUUAAUAUCAAAAUCAAAAUAAAUAAAGAAUCAAAAUAAAGUUUCUUAUACUAACUCUUUUUGAUUUAAUCUACUAGCUAGUCUAACACACAUCUAGAUUUAUUAAUAUAUAAUAUAUUUUAACUAAUUUUUACAUAUUAUAAGAAUUUACAAUACGACACCGUCAAUUCCAUGUCUAUAUAAUUUGCCACCAAUUAUGACAAAGUAUCUACUAUUAAUUCUUACCUUCUUAUGUUCUAUUUUAGAAAGAUGAGGAGGCAAGGCUUGAGUUGUUAGGAACUUGGUAAUUAAUUCAUACUAAGUGGGUAUAGUUAAAACAAUAAAUAAGUUUUUAUCUAUCAAUGUGUCAUCAAUUGGAGCUUCACUAAUUUGGUCUGACAACCUAGAUAAAUGAUCUGCUUGCUUGUGUAUCUUGCCUGGCUUAUAUUCCACUGUAUAAUCAAAUUCUUCUACUAGAAGUAUCCACCUUGCAAGUCUACUACUUAAAUCAGUCUUAUUCAUAAGAUGCUUGAUUGCCAUGUGAUCCAUAAGAAAUACCACUGGAUUUAAGAGAAGAUAAUGUUUGAACUUCUUAAUAGAAAAAACCAUAGAAGAAUUCUCAUUCCAUGGUAGUAUAAUUUCUCUCCACAUGAUUCAAUUGCCUACUAGCAAAGGCUAUGGGAUAGUCCUUGCUUUUUAUCCCACUUCCUUGACACAAUGUGUUCCCUAUGAAUGCAGAUGAAGCGUCACAAAGCACAUAGAAGGACAAUGACCAAUUAGGGGAUCUUGAGAUAGAAAAGUACUAAGUUUUUUUUUAAAGAUAUUAAAUGCCUCUUAGCAUUUUUCACUCCAUUCAAACUUCACUUCUUUUUGUAUUAGUCGAGUUAUGGGUAUGGAAAGUGUAGCAUAAUUUUAUAUGACUUCUCAAUACCAUCCUAUGUGUCCCAACAUCAUUUGUACUUCUUUCAUGGUGGAAAGAGGUUUUAAUUCUAUAAUAACUUUGACAUUUUUUGGAUUGGAUUCUCUACCCUUUUCUAAUACCACAUAUCCUAGUAGAACUCUCUUUUGAACUACUAAGAAUAUUUUGUCAGGAUUUAAUACAAUCCUACAUUUUUUACAUCGUUGAAGACUAGCUUGAAUACAUUCCAAAUGUGUUGUGUUAGAAGAUUGGGUACUAAAGUUGUCAAUAAACAUUGUCAUUGACUUAUGUAAAAGGUCAGACAAGCCAUAGGACAUGGCCCUUUGAAAUGCUGUUGGAGCAUUAUAAAGUCCAAAGAGCAUCACUACAUAAAUGAAGGUGCCUCAAGGUGUAGUGAAAGUGGUUUUAUGGUGGUCCUUUAGAGCUAUCGAUAUUUUUAUUCACUUCCACCUUAUUAUAUUACCUAUAUAAUUAUCAAAGUAACUAUAAGUUUGUAAUAUUACUCUCUUUUCUAGAAAAAAAUUUCAUAAAGAGUGGUGAUUAUAUGUUGAUUAAGUCUAAGAUGUGACAAAUUAUAUUUGCCACAUAUUCUCAUCAUUGUUCUAUUUGAAGAUAGUUAAGAGGUCUUCUCAGCCAUUAAUAAUAUCUCCAUUCUAUGGUAAGAAGACCAUCCUAUUAUUUAAUCAUUGUUGAGGCCUUCAUAAUUUUCCUUAAACCAAAAUAUUUGUUACACCGUUAGGAGUCGUUCCAAUCUCUAAUAAAAUUAUCAAGCAUCAAAAGUCUCUUCCAAAGUCAUGGUAUCAAACACAUUGUAUCUUGCCAUCCAUUUGAAGCAGAACAUGUCAUUCUUAAGGAUCUUCAUUUCAAUUACAUGGUCUUCAAGGUUGUGACAAUCAUAAUGUCUUAUUAAAUAAGUUAACAAAUGAUGGUUCUUGAGUUGAAUCUAUUAAUUACAAAAUCUCCAUCUUGUUGUUAUUAUUAAAAUACAAAGAAUUUACAAUGAAGGAUUAAAGAUAAGAUGAUAUCUUUAUUAAGUGUCUUUUUUUUAUAGCAAAGAAUUACUUAACUUGUCAUCUUGAUAUUAAUAGGUAUCAUUGAUAAAAAGUUUUAACCUUCUCUAUUAUAUUUGCAAGAUUCUUUGCUCGAUCCUAUGAGUAUUUAUUAAUAUUGUAUCCACCCUAAUAAAUAAGAUAUUUUAACACAUUUUAACACCAUUAUGAAUCUAAGAUUUUUUCUUCUUUCAACUCUUAAUAAUUAUCUACUUUUUAUAGAAGGUGGUGGUAUUUGUCUUCUUCUAAAUAUAUUUACUAUCUUGUAUGGCAUAAAAAGAAAUACUUGAAAUAUAGAUUAGAUCUAUAUUAACUUUAAUAGGUGUAAUUAAUAAGUAAUUAGAUUGAUUUGUUUACAAAUAAGAAAGGUUCUAAACUUAUGAUAAUCCAACUUAUUACAAGAAUGAAUAGUCUUUAUUUUGCUACAAAGUAACCAUACCUUGUCAUCUACAUUAAAUUUUAGUUGUUUCUUCUAUUAUGCAUUGGUAUUGAAUUUUUAUUCUUUUUGAGCUUCUUUUAACUACGCCUUCAUUAUUUCAUGUAGCUUUGGCAAACAAUUUGCCAAAUCUUUUGCUACAAGAUUAUCAACUUUUAAAAAGUCAAAGAUAUCUAAUCAUAGUUGGUGACCAUAAUUAGAAGAAAAAAAAAUGUCUAUUAAAUACAAAAAUAUACCAAAUUAUUUUAUGCAAAUUCUACUAUUGGCAUAUGGGUUAUUCAAUUAUCUUGAUGAUAAUUGAUGGUAUACCUCAAAUAUUCCUUCAAAAUUUGUUUUUAUUUGUUUUGCUUGUCCAUCGAUUUGAAAAUAAAAGGUAUAAGAUAAUUUUAUAUCCACUUCUAAUAUCUUAAAAAAGAUUUUCUAAAAUCUUCAUACAAAUUGUGUUCUUAUAUUUAAUAUAAUAACUUUUAGCAAUCCAUGAUGGUAAUAAAUGUUAAUAAAAAAAGCUUAGAUAUUUUUUACCAAAAAUAACUUUUAUACAUGGUAUAAAUUAUAAUAUUUUAGUAAAAUAAUCCAUAAUGACAAAUAUAGAAUCAUAUGAAUUUGAACAUGGAAAAUCCAUAAUAAAAUCUACUAAAACAAAAGACCAUGGUUGUUUUGGAAUAAUCAAUGGUUGGAGAAGUUUAUAAGAUUAAUGAUAAGGAUUUUUUUUUUUUUUUUUUUUUUUUUUUUAACCUUAAGCAAAUACUAUAUGACUAUAUAAAGUCUUUCAAAACCUUUCACAUUUGUGGCUACCAAAAAUCUCUAGAUAUAAGCUCCAAAGUCUUGUUAUAUCUAAAAUGUCCUAUUGCUACAAAGUUGUGAUAAAUGUGAAGUACAUGUAACAAGCUUCUCCUUUUAAAACAUAUAGGUGAUCUUUAAAAUAAAACAAGUUGUUCUUGAACUCAAACUUGGAACUACCAUAAGACUUAGAAGAAGUAUUCUUAUUAUCAUGAAAAAAAAGAUUAGAGGAUAUAUUUGAUUGAAUUUGCUUAACAAAGAUUGAAUCAACAAUCAAUGUUGAUUUUAUUGCUCAAAGAUGAAGUUACUUGAGCUUGAAGAUGACUAUUCUUUAUAGAUCAAAAGCUACAUCUCCUUCUUUUGGUACACAAUAAGAAUGUCUAGAAAGUAAGUUUGACAAAUUUUAUAGUUUUUCAUGUUAAUAAGUGAUUUUAAAAUCAAAUCUUGAAAAUGACAUAUUCCAACGAGCCUAGCAAUGAUUCAAUGCCUGUGUUGAUAUGAAGUACUUAAGAUUCUUAUAAUCUAUAUAUGCAUUGACUCAACUGAAAGCACUUUCUAAAUAAUGGCAUAAUUUUUAAAAAGAAUCUAUAAUUAUAAGAAGUUUUUAUCAUGGAUUUCAUAAUUAAUCUCUACUAUUGAAAAUUUUCUAGAAUAAAAAGCUAUUAGGUGGAAUUUGUCAUCUAUCCCUAUUUGUGACAAUAUUGCAUCGAAAGCAAAGUUUGAUGCAUCUAUUUCUUGAAAAUUCCAAAAAAAAAAAAAAAACUUAUUUUUUUGCACCAUUUUAAUCUAUUUUCUAAUAAAUUGCAAUACUAAUGGUAUAUCAACAAAAAUACUUGAGUUUUUUAAUGAUAAAUUCCAAUUUCUUAAAAGAAAUCACAUAAUUAUUUCUUUAAGUUUUUUUUUCAAUAUAAAUACCAAAAUUUCAAUAAAUAUCAUAUACAUUGGAUAUGUUUUUUACAUAAGUAUUUUUUUCUUAAAUGUUAAAACUGUAGUGAUAUUUUAAAUCACUGAAUAUUAUUUAAAAUAUCUUCAAAAACUUAAAUAUUGCAUUUAAUUGGGAUUUAUUUUUUAAAAAAGAAAAUCGGUUUAGUAACCAAAGUAUGAUUCUUUAUCUUUUUACAAUAAAAUCAAAUUUCAUUGGAUUUCUCUUAAAUUAAUAGCUACAUAAUUUCAUAAUAAUUAAUAUUAAAUAAUAUUAUUAUAUACUAAUUAAUUGAAAAUAAUAUUAUUAUAUACUAAUUAAUUGAAAAUAAAAUAAAAUAUAAAUAAAUUCUUAAAUAUAAAUUAUUACAAGAUUAUAGAAUAUAAAAGAAAAGUACACGAAUUUUGUUUUAUAUUGAAAGAAAAUUAACUUCUAUAUUAAGUAAUAAAAAUAUGUUUCCUAAGGUUGAAAGAAAAUAAAAAGAUAUUUUAUUUUUAUAAAAUAUUAAAAAUUAUAUAAUUAAAACACUUUUCACAUAUUUGAAAUUGUAUAAAAUAUCAUCUAUUAAAAUUAAAAAUUUCCAUUUAACAAUUUAAAGAUUUUUUUGUCUUUGAUACUUUUUUAUGUUUUUAAUUAAUUCUUAAAUAAAUUAUUAUAAUGAUAUAUUUUUUUAAUCUACACAUAAUUGAAUUUAGAGUAAAAUACUUUGAAAUUAUUACUUAUAAUUUGUAUUUUAUUCUUUUCAUAAAAACUUCCAUCAAACAAAUAGAACCUAUAAUCUCAAGGAAACCUAACUCAAAAUUAAACCCAUUAUUACAAAAUUAAUGUAAAUUAAAAAUAUUUAUAUAUCUAAGUAAUUAUUGUACUAAAUAAUUUUUUAUUAUUUUACUAAAAUAUAUAGUAAAAAAUUAGGUGUAACUUUUGAAUUUAUAAUUCUUUUAUUGAAUUUGAAUUUUACUAUUUUUUUAAUAAAAAAAAAUCAUAACAGUUUUAAAAUGUCAUGGAUUCAUAUAAGAAGUAUUUAGACUAACAUGGUUUUCCAAAAACAUUAUAUAAAAUACGUAAAUUUUAGAAAAAAUUAUAAUUAAAAAAUAGAUUACUCAAUAGUAAGCCUACUUUAAGCUAUGUAUGUAUGCAUGUAUACAAAAGAGACAACUAAUAAAAUUUUAUAAAUACAUAUUUUUAUAAUUUUCUUAAUUAUUAGUGCAUACAUUUUAAAUAAGUAAAUAAACAAAAGAGUUUAAUAUUUUAAAAUUUGGACAUUAUAUUUUGUAUAUUUCUAAAUCAGAAAAUUUUUACUUCUGUAAAUGUUUUAGUUAUCUACUUAAAUAUUUUAAAUCUUAUUUUUGAUAACUCUCACUUCUAGGACCCAAUAUUUAUGCAAAAAAUACAAUUCCUACAGUCCAAGUCCUACAUGUAUUAUCUACAUCACACGAGUCUCUUUACGACAAAAAACAGUACAAGUUUCCCACACCACUCAAAGGUUUUGUUUAUUCAUUUGAUCCUACAACUAAUACGUAUAUAAAAAAAUAAAAAAUAAAGAAAAAAAAAAUUCAGAUAUAAAAUUUUAAAAUAGAAAUUACACAUUUUAUUUUAGAAAAUAAAGCUAUAUGAAACCUACCAUUAUAUUUCACUUAUAGACAUUUUAGAAAAUAAAAAAAUAAAAAAUAUAUGUUAACUUAUGUUAUUUGAUGAAAACAUAAACAAUACAAAAUUAACCUCCAGUAGUCUCUCUCGCUCUCUCGGUAUGUGUAUAUAUAUAUGUAUGUAUAUACAUACAUAUACACACAGUUAUAUCUGAAAUAUUAGUAUAAAAGUGAAAUUGGCACCCUGCAGAGGGCCAAUGCAGCAGUUUAGUUGGGCAAAUGUGAGAGAAUAGAGGCGGGGUUCCAGUUUGGGGGAAGAGAGGCCCGCCACAUUUGGUGGCCCCUGCCAAUACUCCCGCUAUCCCUCCCGCUACUCCUCCUCCUCCACUUCCUCUUCCUCCUAUUUCUAGUCGGACUUGCCUCGCACUGUCUGUGUCACCUCCGCAUCUAUCUGUCUGUCGUUUCUAGCUCCAAUACGCGCCAUCCUGAGCAUAUUUCCGUUUCCGUAAGUAAAUCACCACUUAAAGGCCCCGCGCUGCCCUUCAUCACCGUAACGAUUCCUCUUCUCGUAGCUGGCAGUGGCGACACGGAUGAUCGCGACACCCUUUCUCAUCGGGUUUGUCAUGAGCUCGCAAUGAACGAUUCGAUUCCGCUGUGAGUCCCAAUUCCCCUCCCCGUGCACCUCGAUUUCGUCUCCGGUCAUGCAUAAUUUUACUUGUUGCUUGGUCUCUCGAGCCUGUGUUCUGCUAGGUUGUUGGCAGAAGAGGUGUAAAUGUUGCGAAUUUUUUUGGAGAUGGCUAGAUGUAGUCGGUCACCCCGUGUUAUGCGACGUUGUGCUGGUUUUGUUGCACACGAGGUGUAGUAAUUGGUCUUCAGGCUUGGCGUCGGACUGCUAUUUCGCACCAUGAUCCUAUCGGAAGACGUCUCUGUUAAGAUCUCCCGUCCUCAAUUAUUCAACCGCUGGUUUGUCCCUUGAUUCGUGCCAUAUUCUUGCAUCUUGCCUAACGUUGGUCACUAGGUCAUUUUUGCAGAAAUAAAAAACUGGUUGUGAAGCUGUUGGAAGCGUUUCUUUUGUACGCGAGUCCAUGGUGAGCACCGUGGUCCACACUACCGUACUUAUAAACCUAAAACCCUAAUUGGCUCUGGACAUGGUUAGGUUUUGCACGGCAUUGCUUCGACAAAUUUGUGGAUUCAUAGCUGUGACUCUGUUACUCUAGGAAACUGUGGGUGGGCUUGUUCACCAAAAUUGCGACGUGGCUAGAGUAAGUGGAGCAAGGUGGACGCUUUAGCUCAAUGACAAAGUUGACGAUUCAGGCGGAGGAGCGGAUUUUGGAUGCUGUUCAGAAUACUCGAGAGAGGAAACCGAGUCUGAAGGAAGCUGCAGGAGCGUACAAAGGGUGUGCCCUAUACAGAUGUUCUGUGUCGCAUGCAAGCCUAUGACUACGGGGCGUGCUGGUGGCAGGUAUGGGUUGGCAUGUUGCAUAAAAUUUGUGUUCCAAAGAAACGAUGGAGCAACAUGAUUCCGGGCAAGGGGCAGACACAGUUGUGUCUGUGCCGAUGGCCCUGGGUAUCUCCUCGUCUUCUGCCUCACCUGCUGCCUCCUCCAUGUUGGACGCACAUCGGGAACCUCUUGCAAAGCCUCCGAGUUCCGAGAUUUGGGGCAAGAACGAUGCGGUUAUUUCGUCUUCCGAGGUGCAAGAUGAAGUCACCCACCUUGUCGAGUCGGUGGGGAGACCUGGCGGAGGGUCAGGAGACGGAGGGAUCUUGUUAGCCGAGGAGGUGAACGCCGAUGACAAGGUCGUAGAGAGCUGCAAGAAUAAGGACAUUGAUAGCAAGAAAGGGAGAAGGGNNNNNNNNNNNNNNNNNNNNNNNNNNNNNNNNNNNNNNNNNNNNNNNNNNNNNNNNNNNNNNNNNNNNNNNNNNNNNNNNNNNNNNNNNNNNNNNNNNNNNNNNNNNNNNNNNNNNNNNNNNNNNNNNNNNNNNNNNNNNNNNNNNNNNNNNNNNNNNNNNNNNNNNNNNNNNNNNNNNNNNNNNNNNNNNNNNNNNNNNNNNNNNNNNNNNNNNNNNNNNNNNNNNNNNNNNNNNNNNNNNNNNNNNNNNNNNNNNNNNNNNNNNNNNNNNNNNNNNNNNNNNNNNNNNNNNNNNNNNNNNNNNNNNNNNNNNNNNNNNNNNNNNNNNNNNNNNNNNNNNNNNNNNNNNNNNNNNNNNNNNNNNNNNNNNNNNNNNNNNNNNNNNNNNNNNNNNNNNNNNNNNNNNNNNNNNNNNNNNNNNNNNNNNNNNNNNNNNNNNNNNNNNNNNNNNNNNNNNNNNNNNNNNNNNNNNNNNNNNNNNNNNNNNNNNNNNNNNNNNNNNNNNNNNNNNNNNNNNNNNNNNNNNNNNNNNNNNNNNNNNNNNNNNNNNNNNNNNNNNNNNNNNNNNNNNNNNNNNNNNNNNNNNNNNNNNNNNNNNNNNNNNNNNNNNNNNNNNNNNNNNNNNNNNNNNNNNNNNNNNNNNNNNNNNNNNNNNNNNNNNNNNNNNNNNNNNNNNNNNNNNNNNNNNNNNNNNNNNNNNNNNNNNNNNNNNNNNNNNNNNNNNNNNNNNNNNNNNNNNNNNNNNNNNNNNNNNNNNNNNNNNNNNNNNNNNNNNNNNNNNNNNNNNNNNNNNNNNNNNNNNNNNNNNNNNNNNNNNNNNNNNNNNNNNNNNNNNNNNNNNNNNNNNNNNNNNNNNNNNNNNNNNNNNNNNNNNNNNNNNNNNNNNNNNNNNNNNNNNNNNNNNNNNNNNNNNNNNNNNNNNNNNNNNNNNNNNNNNNNNNNNNNNNNNNNNNNNNNNNNNNNNNNNNNNNNNNNNNNNNNNNNNNNNNNNNNNNNNNNNNNNNNNNNNNNNNNNNNNNNNNNNNNNNNNNNNNNNNNNNNNNNNNNNNNNNNNNNNNNNNNNNNNNNNNNNNNNNNNNNNNNNNNNNNNNNNNNNNNNNNNNNNNNNNNNNNNNNNNNNNNNNNNNNNNNNNNNNNNNNNNNNNNNNNNNNNNNNNNNNNNNNNNNNNNNNNNNNNNNNNNNNNNNNNNNNNNNNNNNNNNNNNNNNNNNNNNNNNNNNNNNNNNNNNNNNNNNNNNNNNNNNNNNNNNNNNNNNNNNNNNNNNNNNNNNNNNNNNNNNNNNNNNNNNNNNNNNNNNNNNNNNNNNNNNNNNNNNNNNNNNNNNNNNNNNNNNNNNNNNNNNNNNNNNNNNNNNNNNNNNNNNNNNNNNNNNNNNNNNNNNNNNNNNNNNNNNNNNNNNNNNNNNNNNNNNNNNNNNNNNNNNNNNNNNNNNNNNNNNNNNNNNNNNNNNNNNNNNNNNNNNNNNNNNNNNNNNNNNNNNNNNNNNNNNNNNNNNNNNNNNNNNNNNNNNNNNNNNNNNNNNNNNNNNNNNNNNNNNNNNNNNNNNNNNNNNNNNNNNNNNNNNNNNNNNNNNNNNNNNNNNNNNNNNNNNNNNNNNNNNNNNUGAGGACGAUGUUGUGAUUGGUGACGUGGCGUUUAGGGGAGGUGUUUGGAAGGGUGGUGUGAUGCAGGGAUGUAGUUUGGUGAUAGGUCAUGAUUGGAGUUGCAGUGCUGAGUGUGAUUUGAUUUGGUUGUGUGUUUUUGAUACCGAAAGCUGGCGGUGGGAGAGUGGUGGGGGUUUGGAAUGGGGUCUGAUGCUGUGAUGUUGUAGGCAUCGAAUGUGGAGGAGCCGAGAAGCGACGAGGGCGUUGCGGUGGGUGGUCAAAACGCUGAAGGGGUGUGGAGAGGUGCGGAGUCGAGAAAUGCAGAGAGGCCGCUGUCUGAGUUGGAGGUGAAGGCGAUUGUGGCGGCGGAGGAGGCACGGGCUGCAGCGGCUGCAGCUGCAGAGGUAGGUCUGAGGGUGAUGCAUGAAGUUGAUUGUGGGUGAGGUGUUUGCAGUCGGAAUGGAGAAGAGGGAAGGUGCGAUGGUGGUGGUGGUGUGGGUUGUGUGCGUGGAAUUGUAGGGGUAGUUGUGAUGUAGGUAGAUAGUGGAAAGCCAGGUGACAGGCAGGUCGGGAACGUUGAGGGCUUGUGUGAGAUGGCAUGCAGUAAUUAGGUUGGGGUUGUGACGUUUGCAGGCGUACGCACAAGUGGAGGCUCAGCGAAAGGCUCUUCCGGAGCUGCCAAAGAUCUUGUCGUUUCAUAGGUUUGCAAAGCGCGAGAAGGAGGAUAGUAUGGACUGGAAGACGAGAAGCUGGCUGGGGAUGGGUGAGAAUCCUGCAGGCUCCAGCGCAGGCGCAGGUCCAGCAGGUAUGGACGGAAUGGUGGAUGUGAGUUUCGUGGAGGGAUGGCAGGGAUAGGUGGAGGUGAAGACGAGGGAGGCGGAGUGUGAUGGUGACAUGAAAGUUGAGGCGGGGUGUGGGGUGUGGGGUGUGGGCGUGAGUUUUGAGGGCGGAUGUUUUAGUUGACGCAGUCGGCGUAAGGCGUGCAGGUUGAGGUGGAUAGGAGUUUGGAUCGUUGAGGUUGCGGGUGGUGUUGCUUGGUGUAGAUGUUUUGCAAGGAGUUAGUGGGAAGCAUGGUAGUAGGUUGUGUGGUGGGGGUUGCAGGAGCGGAUGUGUCGGUAAUGAUGGAGGAUUGUUGUCGUUCAGGUUUGGAGCAGAGAGUGGCACAAGAGAACAGCUGUGUGUGGUCUGAGCAGGGGAAUGGGGGUGAUGGUACGGGCGGAGUGCAUCAAAGUACACCAAGCGAGCAGGGCGAUGGGUCGGUUUCGGGUGUGCCGGCGUCAAUGGUGGCUAGUAGCGACACGAAUGGGCACGCGGAGACUCAGGCGGAUGGAACGGGAAGGAGCGGAGAUGUUGGGAAAGCGGCGGAAGAUGUUGUGUUGAGUAGCAGUUGUGCGAGAAUGGAAUCGUUAGGCACAGGAGAGGAGGAGGGUGGUUGUGGAACGGAGGCUGCGGCAGGUAGGGUGGAGGGCGCAAGCACAGCGUGUCCAGAUGUGGGUGGUGCGGAGGCAAGUGCGGCCCCUGCAGAGAAGCGGGGAGGGGCGGACGCAAUCAAGAAGGCGGUGUCAGACUACGUGGUUCAGCUGUUGACCCCUCUGUAUAAGACGAGGAGGAUACAGAAGGAAGACUUCAAGGCCAUAGUGAAGAAGUCGACUGCGAAGGUGAGAAGGUGGUGGGUAGUGUGGGGGGAAGGCAACGAAGGUGUGAUGGGAAGUGUACGGAGAGGGAGUGGAUAUGGGAGGAGCGAACGAGUGUGUGAAGUUGUAUUGGUGAAGUUGUAUUGUGCAGUAUUGGUGGAGUUAGUGAUGGGAUAGGAAUGAGUGUGAACGAGGAGUUGAGCGUGACUGAGCGGUGGGUGGUGUGCAGGUGAUGGACCGGAACACUGCAAGGGACAACAGCAUGGACGUCUCUGAGUUUUUGAACAUGAAGCGGAAAGUGAAGGUGUGGUGAUGAAUGGUCUUUAUUUUUUAGGUUUUUGGUAGUGUCUGUUGCAUGUCAAGGGUUUUCUCGAGAAUUUGAAUUUGAAUUGGAUUGUCGGUUGGAUUAUCUGGACGUUCCUGACAACAUUGUGAGCGGGUGCGAUAUGUUAUCUGGAGUCUGAGGAAGUUUGGUGAUUGUUGUGUUGCAGAUACGAUCUUUGGUGGAUAUGUUCAUAGAGAAGUAUCUCAAAGGUGAAACACAUUGACGUUGUAAUAUUGGUGCGAGAGUCCGCAUAUUUAAGGAUCAGAUUAUGUUGCGCAGAUUUUUUUAUGAGAGACUGGGAGUUUUAGUAUUUGAGCAAGAGCAUUCUUCAAUCACAUUACUUGUGAUAUUUAUUGUUUGUAGUGGUUUUAUUCAAAUUUGUUACGAGUUACCAGUAUGAAUUGUCAUGGCACCAGGUACGGAAAUGUACAAACAUGGUUUAAUCACUUCUGCACUUCUCUGUCCACGGGAAAAUGAAUUAAAUUUUCUGUAAAAUGAAGAGCUCAAUUCUCAGGUUGCAACUGUCACGAUUCGGACUGUGUAUGCUAUAGAUAGUCUUACUCAAAUGAAAAUCCCUAUGCUAAUGUUUCACAUGCCAGGACCGCCACCUAGGCCAGGUGGCAUUCCUAGGCUCUCCGCUAAAGUCUUCAUACGCUCCUUCAUGGCCUGUACAUUUUUUUAAGGGGCAGUCAAAUUAAAUGGAUUAUCACACGUCAAAUCCCUCUAUUACAUCUGGAAUUGCAACAAACAGUAUGGUAAAAACAGGAAGAUACCUUUGAGUUUUGAUCAACGUAUCAAACAGUCUCGAGGCUUGCUUCUAGUUAUAAGUGAACAUUACUAUGAAACCAUGCCUAGUUCUAAUGACAUUUAACAGCAUGAAAUGAUACUCUCAAUUGUGGGAGAUAUAUUAGAGGAGAGCUUCCGUACCGCAACACUUUUCGUGUGAGCAUCCUUGUAUGCUUGGUUCACCAACUCAGAGAGAACCUGCAUAUACAAAGAGUCACAGUUUCAUCCUUUCUGACAUGGUAAAAAACGAAGUGAACAACUAAGCAUCUGUUUUGAAAUCAUAUAUGAUGACAAAUUGCUACAUUUAAGAUGCUACUCACAUCAGCGCCCCUUUCCAAGGCGGCUUCGGUAAUCUCAACCCGAACAGGUUCUUGGUUGCCUGAUAAGGUCACUCUCACAAGCUCGUCGUCACAGUAACCGUCGAACUCCGCACUGCGUGUAUGAAGGGUUUUCACGACUCAGCUACUAGAUCAACGUUCUUCGCUUAUACCCUAAAUGAAAUCGCAAUGCAAAGCCAAACCAGUCGUAUAUAAAACAACAUGAUCAUGAUAUCCUUGAACUUAGUUAGCAUUUCAGGCCUACCAUGUGACAGUAUCAAUAACACACAGGAACAGCAGCGUUUAAGAACGUACGCAGCAAGCUCUUUCUGGACGCGGACAGCCUCGACUUGAACUACCUGUUGGGCUUUCCUCACUGUGUCAUAUAGACCCUGCAUGUUCCCAAGCAUGUUUCCUAACCCUUGCUGCAGCACAAAGUAAAGAGAAUGUGACAGGUUCAUGUUAGUAACGACCCGAACAAGGUGAUGCACUUAGUGAUUUCAGAAGCUUUGUUUAUGUCGUCUAAGUGCAGAGACCUCAGAAGAAGCAGAAAUAUUGGAGAUUGAUGUGAAAGCUUACACAUUCAUUUCAUCACAUUACCUAUCAGCAAGCCCUAGGAGCCAUAAUGGCACAGCGCAACAGGACAUCAAACUACAUAUAUAAAAGAAGAUCAACCUCAGCACUUGCAGGACGAAUCAAGUUGAAGAAGUCUUCUUAAUCCAGAUCAAUGACAUAUUAUUGUAACAACCGCGUGAAGAUGAAUGCAUUGCGUGCGAAAUUCACCUUCUUGGCGGCAUCGUCUGGGUUCUCCUCUUUUUUCCCACCCCACAAGCUGGUAACGUUCAGAGAGCGCUGAUUAAAGCAGAAUGACCGAUGUGUUCUCUUUAAAAAUACAUUUGAAACCCUAUAACCUGUACAGAACAUCAAGACGUUAAUUCAUAAUCUUAUUCAAACAAAACCUCAAAGUAAUUGAUCCAUACAUUAUCGAACAAGCCGAAUAAGAUGUGACCACCCAAUGUGCAGGACCUGCUCAUUGCAAGAGAAAAACACAGAAAAAGAGCCUCUUUUACGAUUCUCAAUCCACCAGUGAACUUUUAGUCCAAAAAGUAGAUUUCUUUGCUAACAAAGCAGGAACUUAUUCUAUGAUUCUCUCUGCCACAGUUCAACAUAACACAUUUUUAAAGAGAAUACACCAAUUUGAGUUCACUUGAACCCCGCACUAGAUGAGAUUGAAGAUUCCCAGCGUUCUUGACAUAGAAGUACUAAUUCAAUUAAAGGUGAAAUUGGGAAAUAGUCUAGUUGCAGCUUAAUACAUGGCCACCAAUCGAAAUUACUACUACGGCACUCACAAACUUGACACAAAUGCAGACACUAAGAGUGAAUAUUUAAACAAACGAGUCUCUAAGAAGGUCAAAUAGGAGAGAGAAAAUUAUAAUGACCCUCACUAAAACUCGGAGGUGCUCGAGAAACGGGGAUGCACAGAAGCAAAACAAAAGGAGUGAAAGGAAGAGUUCGAAUUUCUAGGGCUCCCCAAACCCCAAGCUGUACAGGCACUAAUCAGGGCUUCAACCUCAAAAAUACAUUCAGAAGCUAAAUUCGAGACUUCUAAUUCACCAAACAGAGGUUUCAGAAUCGAAGGUAACCUAAUUGCAGUUCAAAACGACAAGCACAGAAUCUCUUGAGUAACAAAAGAAAUCACAAUUCAGCCAGCCAGAAAAUAACACAACAAAUCCUUUCAAUCUACACACAACCUACACAACCUCGUCAGCGCAAAUGCUCACAUUAGCCCUGGAAAACCCAAAAUCCUGUUCCACACUCUACUCUCCAACUCCAUAUCCACAAACACACAACCUCGUCCUCAUCCUGGUCCUACACUUCCUCGAAAAAGUCCAAAUCCACUGACCACAGAUUCACCUCAAAAACCCCAACUCAGAAUCCUCCAGUGCGAAUCCCCUGGACACUUACCGAAGGGGGAUGAGGAAGAUGAAGCACCAGCGGGGUUGAGCUGUGGGAAGACAGACACUCCAGUAGCAGCCCCGGAUACACACGCCAUCGCUUGCUGGGAGGUAUUUAAUUCAAACCCCACUCUGAUUCCAGCUAGCCCAGCUGCAAAAACCUCCCCUCGCGUCGCGUCACGUCACGGCGCUUGUCGACGAUGGAAGGGGGAAGUGGGGGAGGGGCGGAUGCGCGAGGAGGGACACGAAGGGAAGGGAAGGAAGGAAGGCUGUGAUGCACUGGGCCAGCCCCGGAGAUACAAGGGUCGGGGAUAAGGGCAUACAAAACCGCGUCUCUCAACGCCGCUUUCCCCCGGGGUCCGAUUCCUCCCCCCCCAAUGGCCGCGGGCUGCUCCUCCGAGAGGCCUUCCACUGCUACCCCACUGGAGGAAUCUUUAAGUAAAUAUAUAUAUAUAUAUAUAUAUAUAUAGAGAGAGAGAGAGAGAGAGAGAGACAAACAUCAAAUUUGAGCAUCUUGUUUAAUUAAUGUGAAAUAAGUAGAAGAUUUUUUUUUUCUUUUUAAGUAAAAAAAGUCCUAUCUAUGAUUUGUAAUAAAUCUGUUCCCACUUUUACACAUUGAGACACAUAAAUUAACAAAAAAAAAACAAAAAAACAAAAAAACAAAAACAAAUUGGAAUAUAAGUUGUAUGUGAAAGAAGACUUCUGAGAAAAAUAAUGUUAAUCUAGGUUUUAAUUAAAGACUACUGAAUUUCAAUAGAAAGUAGAUGCUGUAUUCCAAAACUGAUUUGCUGUUAAAUAUCCAAAAAUAUUAAUAAUUAAUAUAAUUUAUUAAUUAAGUCAAUAAAACUUAUCUUUUAAAUUUACGUUUAAGAAAAAAAAAUCAUAAUAGCACUUAGAAUUAAGAAUUAUCUUUACGAAAAAAAUAGUGUAGUAUUGGAAAUAAGCACCAUGCAUUGAUUGAUAAUACUUUGCUAAAUGACUUCUGAAUACAAUUAUUUUGGAUGCAAUCAAGUCAACAUAGUUACUAAAAACAUUACAAGAGAAAUAAAAUUAAAAAAUCCAUUAUUAAAUUUGAUCGUUUUAAAAUUCUAAAGAUGUUUUUAUGAAUGUUGAGAACGAUAAUAAGAUAUUCUACUAAUAUCAUGAAGUUUACAACAACCAAAAUUGUCUGUUGGUGUUAAGGUGGAGGUGCUACUCUACAAAUUGGCCUAUCAUUUUCUGAUGACAACGAAUAUGUGUAAUACAAAGCACAUAUCCUCUUCAUAAACUCAAGCUUCCCACCUCACUUGUACCAGGCAUGAUAAUCAUGUAUUAUUUUACUAUAGUCUUCAACACAUCUUGUUGUAGAAUGAAAGCUAAUGAGGAUGUGCUAAAACGUGCGUCUCGGAGCUUAGAAAUGGAUCGAGUCUAAAGUCGAAUCCUGAGCUAUUUUUCUUUACAAACCGACCCUGCAGUUCAAAGAGGGAAAACCACAUUCAAAUUCACGAUCGAUACCGGGAGGAAGUUUUUUGAUCCCGACGCAGACAUAAUCGCAAAAUCGUAACGAACUUCGUAACAAUUACCUUCUACAGAUUAAACUUGCGGUGAAGCACACAUUUGAACCUACACAAUCGAUCGGUUUCUUCCGGCUCUAAUGAAUCGGAGAUACUGGUGGAGGACUGACCUUCAUUCGAGGUCGCUUUUCGGCGUUGAGCUUCCUAACUUCAUAUCUGAUUCUCUUCGAAAAGAGUCUGCUCCGCCUUUUCUCUUUGAAUCUCAUCACACUAGCCUCGCGGCUUCCUUGGCAAUCAUCAGCGCCUUCCUGCGCCAUGUCAGGCACUAGUCCAGCGUCCUGAAGAGGGCAAGGAUCAGAGGAUUUCAAUCACAUUGCUCGCUAGUGUUUCUAUGAAGCCACUUCUGUUAACAAACCCCCGAGCAAUUGUUGAGAAUCUGCUUGAACGGAUUUCCCUAAUAUACCUACCGUGGCAUCCGAGGUACAAUCAUGGGGAUAGAACCAAGGCUCGCCUCUAUCGGACCAAGCGGUAAUGACGUCUUCAUAAUUCAAUCGCAGCGUGGGAGCUAGGCCUAAGUUUACUUCACUUAGACCUUCCCGGCAGCACAGCAAAAUCUCCUUGGCUUCUUUCUUGAUGUUCUCAGGAGUCAAAUGCAUCUUCUUCUCAUUCCUCGGAAUUUUCGAAAAAAACUUAACGAAAGGACCAGUGCGAAAUUGGUCGUUUUCUGCUCCGACUAGAUUAUAUUUGGAGGAAAUACCUGUAAAACGAAGAAGACUAUGUCUCUAUGUUACGAGGAUCGCUGAAUACCGCAUCAGAAAACCGAAAUGUAAAGUUCAGCCACACUGCUCAAAAGUCGUCAGGAUGCUGCUGAAAAACUUACCUCCCAUUUCAGAGGUAUCCGCGCCAACUCCUUCAAAGGCCCUCGGUAAGGUAUCAUGAAAAGCAAAGUCAAAACUCAAACUAUCGCCGACAAAUUCUCGUGAGCCAAAAUCCUCAAACCCGCUGAGUCCGGGAAUAUCAUUAGAAAUGAAACAUGCAUCUCCGGCAACGCUAAUGUUGCCAUCCAUGUCGCAGCAAAUGUUGAUUCCGUCGUCAAAUGCAUCAGGUAAAAAGAACUGGUCUGAUGUGUCAUCGUCAGGGAAGCAAUCUUCUUGGGCAGCUUUCCCUUUGAAGAACGCGGCUAAAGAGUCCGACCAUGGAGAGCUUCUAACCUCUUGAGAGUCACUGCGCAACUCCUGGAAGAAGUCUGAACAAACAUCCAACUCCGAGCUCGAUGGCGAGGAAUCCUGCAUCACCACGAUAAGUGAUGGCACUUUUUGGGUAACAUCAACCAGGAAAUUCUCGGUUUCAAAAGUCUCUGAAAACAUCAAGAGGUCUUCCUUCAUCUUCGCAUCUCCCUCCUCCAGCUGGUUGGGAGCAUGUUUGGCUCCAGGAGAGUGCUUGGCUUGACGAAAAGGAUGAAGCCUACAGGUCCUAAAUCGCUUUCUGGAUGGCAACACGUUCACUGGAGGUGCUUGCAGCUUCUUAGACAUGGUUGGUUUUCGUAACAGUAUUUCUUUCGCAUUCUUGGUGUCAGGAGAGUCUUUUCGAGCUAAUAUGGUUGACUCUGCGUUCGGAGUGAGUGGAACUCGCUCAUGUCGCUGGGCGAGAGCAUUAGCAGAAUGCACUUGUAUGUCGCACUUCUCGCAAAGAUAUGCUCUAUCAGCGCCGCAGUACCAACGUGCACUCUUGUUCAUGCAUACGUCGCAGGCCCGCGACGCUUGUCCUGCUAUCGCCAUCGCAGUGACUAUCGACUUGCAGGCUGUCCUGGUUGUCAUCUCUACAGUAAAUCUUUACCUAACUGUUCUCUUAUCAAAAUCCGAGUGUUUUUCGCCCACAAAUGGAACUCAGCUGUCGAAAUCUUCCCAUGAUCACGAAGUUAAUAAGAUUUACAAGCUUAGCACAUUCAGCAAAAAGUCUCUAAAGCCAGCCAUGUUCAAAAUUGCAGCAAUCGUGCUAUUCCAAACGGCAGUUCUGGAUCACUUCAGUGCUACUGAUUCGCGGCUCUUAUUGACGCAGGUCCUCACUUCAAAAGUAAAACAAACUAUAAGUAAUGCUCUAGAAUUCAAUUACAUAAAUUUUGAAAAAUAAAUUCACAGCAAUCCUUCCGAAAUGGUGACUGUAGACAAAUCAUCAUAGUUCGUUCAAUCACGACCUGUUUCAUAUUUCUUCAGACGACGGAAUAGGGAUACAACUGACGACACAAUUACCCUGAUUCCCGUCAACCUCGAUAAAGCUACAUCACCACAAAAACAAUAUUUUUAAAAAUAAAAAUAAAAACAAAAAAUAAAAAACCGAGGAGAAAAAAGAGAAAGUAGAAAGCCAACGGAGAAACACACCUUUGUCGAUGCUGAAGAUGACUGCUAAAUUUCAACGAAUUCGACGAUCGAGGACACACUGGUGACACAUUUGGUACAUCUCACUUGGCAAAACACACAACCACAUUAGAACUCAACCCUGCGAUGGACACACUACACAACAAUAGAACGAUUCUUCAAUGUAGGAGAAAAACGGAGCAGUGACUCUCAAGUACGAGCUCUGAGCAUUGGCACAAGCCUGGCCCUGGCAGCUCUCAACUGGAUACUUGCAGCUACUCAUUCCGCGACAACUCGGUGGAAUUCUGCAACUCCUGUGGCAUUCUCGGAAGGCGCUACAGGCCUGGUUCAGACGGGGAAGCGCUGCUGCGCCUGGCCUAAAUUUUGCUCAGCCCUGUCUCACGAACUGCAGAGGGGGUGGAAUUGAGUUUUGGCCAUUAUUGGCGGUGUAUUGAUUUGUUUCGGUGGCAGUGGGAGCAAUCAUCUGUCUUCUUUACUCAUCUAUUGAAGUUAGGCGCUCCGAGAAAAAGAUUGACAGCAUUCCGUUCCGCAAAACGGGAGUCGAGUCUAAUCCCCAUUUUUAUUUCCAUUUUGUUUUUUUUGCACGGGAGGGGUUUAUCCGGUUUCGGAUAGCGAAUAAAUAUCCCUCUGCUAUAGUGCUCUGUGCCAUGAAAUUAACAAACAUUCCUUGAGCAGUCCCCUUUGUACAUUCCGUGUCUUCUCCAGAGACCAUUAUAUAAUACUUUUUACAAUAAAAUGAGAUGUUGAUGUCAUUCUGAAGCGGAUUCUCAAACCAGGGACAACAAUUAAAAGGAAAAUGCUCAGCAGGACUAAUAAUCAUGGGAUGUAUGGCUAUACACAACUCACAUUUACAGGGGAAUGAGACUUGCAGGGUGUAUUAAUAAGUGGGAGUAUGAUGGCACAAUCUGACCUAUGGAUAAGCUACUAUUCCCUGGCAGAGGUAAUAAUUUGGGCUUGUUUGGGCUAUCAGAGUUGGUUUCAGAAAGGGGAAUUAUAUGCCUGUCGGCUCCAUACAGGCACACCCAUCCUUACUUACUUUUUUUUCUUUACUAUAUGUUAUUUUUUACUUCACUUACUUGGGCAUUAGUGCCAAUGAGAGUGAAAGAACUAACUAUGAAGAGCCUCAGUUCCGGGGAGAGGAUUGUGGAUGGGACACUCUCUAGCAAUUAGGUCACCAUUCCACAUCACCGCCUGCUUGUAAGGUAAAUUUCAAACUUUGGCUUAUCUUAUUCCUCCCAUCCCACCUGACAAUAUUACUCCAUGGUUAUGAUUUUCAUACAAGUACCCAAUAUUAAUAAACAAAUGACCUAGGAGAUUUUUUUAAGAAAUUAAAUCAUAAUAAUUUUUGUAUAGACUUAUUCUAUUUUUGAAAUCUGUCCAUGUUACCCUAGCAAUUAGAAUAUAUGUCUAUUAUGCUUAUGGAGUCUUCAAACAUUAUUGUUGUUUGAGUUUCAAGGAUUAUUUUUAAAUUAUUUUUUAUUAUUUAUUAUUUUUUUUGGUGUUGGUUAUGAGUUUUCAACAAAGGCUUAGAAGGCUACCUUGAUUACAACUGAACACUUCCUUUUAUUUUCUACCUCAUUCUUUAAAUUAUUUAAUUGGUAUAAAAUGAUAAUAUUUGUGAUUUUUUAUUCUAUUUGAAUAAUUAAGUCCACCAACUUUAAAAAAUAAAAUAAUAAAAUAAUAAAAUAUUUAUUAGAUGAUACAUGAGGUGAUUUUUCUAAGGAUUGGAUCAUAUGUUGUAGAAUUUAUUAAUGAAAUUAAUUUAGUAGAUUAAAUGUGUUUAGUUUAUUAGAUCUUUAGUUAAAAGAAGUAUGACAAUUUAAAAUCCUUUAUUUAUUGAAAUUUCUUUCUAAAAACUGUGAUUUUAAAUAAACAUUAAAAAUAUCAUAUUGUGUCCUAAAUAAUAUUCAGAAGGAGUGAUUGAUUGUAGAAAGAAAUCAUUUUAAUCUUACACCCUUUUGUUAGUGUAGUAUUUCUUUGUAUUUUUUAUUUUAAAUAUUAUAUUUUUAACAAGAUAUUUUAAGUUCUUUUUGUCUAUCAAUUUAUUAAAUUAUUAUUUUAAAUAUUUUUUAAAACAUUUACAAAAAAAAUCAAAUGAUAUUUAUUAUAAAAUUAUAUAUAAAAGGUUAUUUUAAAAUACUUAAGAUAAAUUUAAUAUCCAAUAUAAAUUUUAAUUAAUCUUAAUAUUUUUAUCUUUGAUAAUAAUUAAAUUUUAUACUUAUUUGUGUUAGAAAAUCAUGAUUUUUUAUAUGAAAACUUAUUUGAUUUAAAUUAUAUGGUUUCUAUAUUUCAUAAUUAAAACUCAAAUAAUCUAAAAAAUCUAAAAAACUACAGCAAAGAAAUAUUAUCAAUAAAAUAUUAAAAUUUGAAUUUCUUUACAUUCUAAGAAGAAAGUUAAAACUAUUAAGUAUUUGUUUAGAGUUUCUAAAACUUUAAUUAACUUAUAUGUAAAAACUAGUAUUUAAUUAGAAAAAUAUUUUAAAGAUCUUAAAAGAUUUUAAUGCUAAAUUAAUAAAAAUAGAAAUUAAUAUUUUAUAUUAUAUUUUAAAUAAAUCUAAUAAAUCUAAAAUUAAUUAAAAUAUAUACAAUUAAAUUCUAUUUUUUUAUAUUUUUUAAUAUUAUUAGAUUACAUAUUUAUGUUAUCUUGGAAUAUAAACUAAAAAACAACAAAAUUCAUAAAUUUUUAUAUUAAAGUAGAUAUAUGUGUUUUAUUACAAAAUACAUUUGGCCAUAUGAUUUUAAUUUAUGCCAAAAUAAACCUAAAAUAAUUAGAUUGGAGGAAGAUCUAUUAACAUUAAAUAUUACUAAGCUAUUACAUGCAUUGGUUGUUACAUUUAAAGAAAUAGUUUUAUGGAUAACAUCUUUAAAAGACAACAAACAACCAUUUAUGACUUUUACAUGUACAUACUUAAUUUUCUUAACUAAAGACAUUUCAUGUUUUUUAACAAAGUUUGUAUUUAUGAAAUAAGGUGAGGCUCUUGAAUCUAAUAAGGUAGAUGCUUUGUACUUUUUUGGUCCUAAACAAGCAUCUAUUAUAAAGCAAGGUGAUAGAUCUGAGAUAAGAAUAGGACCUUUAUUGCUUAAGUUUCUAGUUGCAUGGUCCCUAUUAUAACUAAAGAAAUUUAUUUUUUAACACAUUGUCCUCUUUGGUAACCAUGCUCUUUAUUUUGUAAUUACAUUGUUUUUUUAGAUAAUAUUGAACAAUGUGCUUAGAUGCUCUAUAAUAUAAGCACAAUCCUUUUUAAUGGCAUCAAGUCUUUUCUUAUUUACUAAAGAAUUUGAAACAUAUCGUAUCAAUUUACAUAUGUUCCAACCUUAAUAAAAAGUUUUUAAAAACUUAGGAAUUGUUGUCAUGACUUGUAACUUUUCAACCAAAUCUUUUUUUUUGGUAUCUUUUAAAAAUUUAAUUGUUGUAUGAAAUGGCUUAAGCAAUAAAUUAUUCUAAUGAAUUUUCUUUCAACAUUAUCAACAAUAAGUCUUUGAAAUUAUCCUUUAAUUCAUAUCAAAAUUAAUUUAUAUGAUUUUUGUCAUUCUAAUUGACAUUGCAAGCACGAUUUUAGAAUUUAAUAGUAUAUUUGAUGAUUGAAUAUGAUCUUUGUUGUAAAGAUAUAAAUUUGGUCUAUGCUAUCUUUUUUUAAUUACUUUCUCUAAAACAAGAACUAUAUGUUAGCACUUUUAUCAAACUAUCAAGAAUAUGAAUCAUAAAAAUCAAAAAAUCAAUUCACUCUUGUGUCAAUAGAAAAGAGUGAAUAAUCACUCAAAGAUGGUAUAAUAUAACAUUAAAAUGGCUAUUACCAAUAGCAAGAAGUCUAGAGGCUCUUGAGACAAGAUUAAAGACUAAAAAGACAUUAAGAAGAGUGAAGAAAGCUUCACUCUUACCUCCAUAUCUAUAUAUAUAUAUAUAUAUAUAUAUAUAUAUAUAUAUAUUAUCUAAUUAGGAACUAAAUGUCAACGUCCUAUGCAAUCUCCAACACGUGUCCAACUUGCAAGACAUAUGUUUAAUUUAUAAAAUAAGUUUCUUUCAUGUAUACCACGUGGUUAGCUUAUACUAUAAGCUACAAGUAUACGUAAUAUGUGGCUAACUUGUUGGCCAAGUUUCUAACCUAUCAAUCAAUUAUAAAUAUGUAUAAAGUCAAAUCCAUGUCAAUAUAACUUCUAUGAAGCUUCACCAUAAUAUAUUAUUAAAUUUAUAUAUAUUUAUUUUUUAUCUAAUAUUUUUUAUUUAAGUCAUUCAUGUAUAUUUGUCAUAUAGUCUUUAUGCCAUGGUAUGAAAUACCAUCAAUGGCUUAGAGGAUCUAUCAACUACUUUUAAAGAAAACAAAGAUCAAAGUAUGUAGCAAAUAUAAUUUGACACAUCUUAAACUUCUUCAAUAUGUGAUUACUAUCCUUUAUAGAAUUCAUCUUUAGAAGAGGGAAUAGUAUCAAAGACAUCCAUAUUUACUUCAAUAAUUACCUAAAUAAUAUGAAUAAAUAGAAGUACAUAAAAAUAAAUAAAUUUGAUAAUAUCUUACAGAGGAGUUUUUCAGAAGCUUUAUAGAUGCAGCUUUGCUUUUAUACAUGUCUAUAUGUGAUUGGUAGGUUAAAAACUUAGAUAUUAAGUUGGCUACUUGUCACAUAUAUUAGUGACUUGUGAUACAAGUUGGACAUAUUGUAUACAUAUAAAAAGCUUAUUUUGCAAGUUAGACAUAUAUUUUGCAAGUUAGACAAGUGUUAGAGGUCUUAUAAAACUUUGCCAUGUAGUUCUUAGUUAUAUAGUAUAUAUAUGCAUAUAAUAAUGAGGUCUACUUGAGUCUUAUCAAUCUUUUUUUUUUUAUUCUAGUUUAAUUUCAAGGAUCUCUACUUUUCUUGUCUUUUGAUAAUAUCCAUUUUAAUUUCUUUCUGAAUAUACAUAUUUACUUAUUUCUUUUUUAUCAUCUUUUUUUAAAAAAUAUUUCACUUGUUUAUUCACAUUCAUCAAGUUUUUAACUUUGACAAAGGGACAUAAAUCACAAACAUUUAAAACUUCAAUACAUUCUUAUUUUUUUUUAAAUAGAGUAGAUUUUUAUUCAAAAAUAGUAUAGUAUCAAAAUUAAAAUAAUUAUUUAUAAAGAUGAGAAGAUUAAAGACUCUUGAAAUGAGACUAAAAAUAAAAAAUAAAUUAAUAAGAGUGAAGAAAGAUUCAUUUUUAUCUAUAUAUACUAUCUAAUUAGGAGUUACAUUGUUGGAGGUAAAUGAGUUUUCUUGAUGAAAAUAUAGGGUUUUUGGUUGCAACUAGAUAUGAUCAAACAUUGCCUUUUAUUCAAAUAAAUUCCACUACCUCAUAUGAAUAUGGUGGCUUUCAAUAGUAUGUAAUAGCUAAUAUUCCUUUUUUCAUUCAAAUAAAUACCAUAUUUCUAUACUUCAUUAGAUUUUAGCAUGUAAUAGCUCUUUGAUACACUCUUCAACUCAUAUAUAUAUAUAUAUAUAUAUCAAAUCUCACUUCCUAAAAUUUUGUAUAACAUAUUUUAUGAGCAAAUAAAGCCAUCAAUAAUAUUAACACAAGGCAAAUGAUUUUUAUUUAUUAAAAAAAAAAAAAAAAAAAAAAAAAAAAACCUUCGGAGCUUCUUAUCAACUUUUCUAAAAAAAAAGGAGAGCUUUUUUAAAAACUUAUAAAGAGGGGAAUAACUCUUCAAAAUUUCAAAUCCAAAUUCAAAAUACCCUAUGACAAACCCUUCAAAGAGGGAGUAGCUAUCCUUAAGGAAAAAAGAGCCUAAGUAAAAGAGAAAGAGAAAGCUAUCCAAAAGUCAAUACCAACCUAUGUCACUCCCCCUCAGCCCAUAUUUCUUUACUUCAAUACCAUAUCACACCAUCUCAAGAUCAUACCAACCUAUCUAAACUAAAACCAAUUUUAAUUUUAAUUUAAUUUUAAUUUUCCUUAAUUAUAAACCAAAUUUUGUGAACAUUUAAAAUAAUUUUAAAUAUCACAUCACUUAUUGAUAUGACAAUGUGGCAAUGUUCUAAAGGACCUCCAAUAUGUAUCCAACUUAUAAUACACGUUGUCAUAUAGCAUGAUUUGCUAUUUGGGAAUACACUGGAUAUCUAGCUAUAGAGAGUUUAGCUUAAACUUUUAUAUGUAUCUUGUCCUAGCUUCCAAAAAUCCUUUAUUUUGCACAAAAUUCAAAAAUAUAGCAAAAUCUCUUCAAAACAUAUUUUUUCGGUGAAGGAUUUUUUCUUCUUGAAAUUUAGAAAUUCAUAACUCUUGAUCUAACCAUUCAAUUUGUUUCUAACUUAUAGAGUACGUAGAAUUUAUCCUUAAGUUUUAUCUCGAAAAAACCAAUUGCAAAAUCACUUCCAAUCUUCUUGCAUCUAAGAAAUCUUAGUAGAUGCUCUAAACUCUAAUUUAUAAGCACCUAUGCACUAUUUUCUUAAUAUCUCAAGAACCCAAUACUCAAAUGCCAUCAAACUUAUGUACAAAUUUACUAACAUGAAUAUAUAUAUUCUUUGAAAUUUUGAGCCAAAACCUUGUCAAAUGCUCAAGAUAUAGCUCAAAACACAACCACCAAUAAAUCAGGUCACUUACUACCCUUAGAUUGUAUGCAUUGACUUCAAAAUCUAAUAACUCCUUUACUUCAACUUGGAAUCUAGCAAUCAAUAUACAAAAAGUGUAGCCGCAAAAGUGCUUUCUCUAGUCGCGAUCGCCGAUCUUCAAUUGCCCUCCAUAUACAUACGUUAUGUCAAAUAUAAUGACAGUAGCUCCCAAAUCAACACCUUAAGUUUGAGUGCCUAUAUCUCCUUCAUAUAAACUCCAAAUCAUACAAGCUUUGCACCAAAACCAUAGCCAAAAUCCUAAAAUUGCUGACCCUAGCCUUCAAAGCUCAAAUGGCCCUAAAAAACUAACCCUAAUCUCUAAUAUGGCCACGGGCAGCCUCCUCAUAGCCAAUUGGUCAUGAUUUUUGACCAAUAGGAAUGAAGAUUUGCAUCAUCCAUCUCCAUUCUUCUAUAUUGGUGCCCUAAUUACUUCCUUUGCUAUUAAAACACUUCUUCAACCCUUUUUCUUGUAAGAUUUACAUAAUUUAUGCUCUAAACACCAAAUAAAAUAACCAAAAUUAGUUUUCAAAGGUGUCACGGCCAUAAUCAUGUAAGCUAAUAAUUACAUAUAGAAAUAGGUAGAAGUAAGUAAAAGUAGAUAAAAGUAAGUUAAUUGUAUAAUAUUUAAUAUAGAAGCUUCCUAGAAACUUCCUAGACGCUGCUUUGACUUCAUAGGUGUCUUUAAUUGACUUUUUGGAUUAGAAACGUGGUCAACAAGUUGGCCAUGUGCCACACAUGUUGUUAGCUUGAAGAUCAAGCUAACUAUGUGGCCCACACGUAGAAAAACUUGCCUUGUAAGUCAAGGCAUGUGUCCUACAAAGUCAACACAUAUUGGAGGUCCUAUAGAAUGUCGCCACGUAGCCCCUAGUUAGAUAGUAUAUAUAGAGACAAGAGUGAAGGCUUCUUCACUCUUGUCAACUCCUUUCUUGCUUCUAGUCCAGGUUCAAGAGUCUUUAGUUUCUUGUCUUGUGGCAAUAGCCAUUCCAGUUUCCUUUUAAUAUACCUACUUGUUUAUAUUUUGACUUAUUAUAUCGAGAUAGCCUUUUGGUGUAUAUUUUUCCUCAUCGAGUCUUUGUCCCUGACAGAUUGACAAGAGUACACUUACAAUAUCAGAGCUUUGUUUUUUCUUGAGUAAGAGUGGAUUACCCCUUUCUUUUGACAAGACAUAAGCGUAUUAGAAGUUUGCGGAUUACCCACUUCUAAACUGAUAUUGUUCUUAGUAUCUUCUUUGUUAUCAAGUCUUUCUUUUCUUUUGUCUUGAGCAAUAUCAAACAAAUUUUUCUUCUUAGUGUCAUUAUGGCAGAGCUUGUUGAAAUGAAGAGUGCAAUGGCACAAAUGCAAGAGCAAAUGAGGGAGUUAAUGCUUGCGAUGCAUCAACUCAAUUCACCAACACAGGAAAGAACAAGAAUAGCAGAAAGUGGAGAUAUAGAGAUGAUCGGAGCUGCUUCAACAUCUACAACAAAUCAUGUCCCUUCUCUAAUUGUACAACACCCUGUAAGCACUAGAAAACCAAGAAUUGCCUUACCCGAGAAAUUUGAUGGUACGAGAUCAAAGUUUCGAGGGUUCAUCAAUCAAGUACAAUUGGCAAUUGAACUUCAACCGCAAAGCUAUCCAACUCCAGGAUCACAAGUCAGGUUUAUUGGCACUCUACUUUCUGGUUCUGUAUUAUCGUGAUUUUCGUCUUUUCUUGAACAACGAAAUCCAAUAUUGGACAAUUUGGAAGCUUUUUUGGCGGAGUUUCGAUCUAUGUAUGGUGAACACGAUGCAACUCGUGUUGCAACAAAUAAGAUCCGAAUUCUGCGACAAGGAAAUCGCUCAGUAACAGUAUAUGCUUCACAAUUUCGACAACUUGCAAUUGACAUCAAGUGGGAUGAUGCUGCACUCAUCAGUCAAUUUCUUUAUGGAUUGCAAUACGAAGUAAAGAAAUUGAUGCUCAACUUACCUGAUCCUCAAACUUUGAGUCAAGCAAUCGAUUUUGCGGUAAAAUGUGAUAAUCGACUUUUUGAAUUUCGAUCUGAGAAUCAUUCACGGGAACCUCAACGUUAUUACUCAAUGGCAACAUCAACAUCUUUGCCAAACGUACAUUCGGAAGUAGAAGACAUGCAAAUUGAUGCAGUACGUUUUAAACCUCUAACUGAGCAAGAAAAGAUUCGUCGUCGUCAAGAAGGAUUAUGUUUAUAUUGCGGAGAACCUAAGCACACUCGUCAACAUUGUCCAAAGAAACGACGCAACUAUAAAAUGAGGGGUACGACGGUCAAAGAAGACAACAUGUCGGAAAACGGAUUCAUCCAGCUACAAUAGGGACCGUGCAGCUGGAACCUUGUACAAUUCCUAAUGAAGGUCCUAUCCUCUCCUCAGAACCCUCUCCUUGUUUUAUAAUAGACUUAUAUUUAGGACCUAAGAAUUACAAAGCCUCUGCUUUAUUAGAUUCGGGAGCCUCAGCAUGUUUUUUAGAUGAACAAUUUGUUAAAAGUCGUAAAAUACCCUUUGUACAGAAACCUAAACCAGUACAUGUAGAAGUCAUAGAUGGUCGUCCCUUGUCUUCUGGAGAUGUCACUCAUGAAACUCAUCCUAUAAAAGUAACAAUAGACGGUCAUGAUAGCUACAUAGCUUUUAACAUAAUUAAAUCCCCGUCCAAUCCAGUUAUUUUAGGUUUAUCCUGGCUAGAAAAAUAAAACCCUCGAAUAGAUUGGAAUUCGCGUAAACUUGACUUUUCCCAAAGAGUUAUUAAUAGUUCUACCAACCAAGUAAAAAAUUAUAAGUCUAGUAUAGUAAAACCCGUACUGAUAGGUGCAAAAGCAUUUAUACACGCAGCAAAAGAAGGAUCAACUUUUGCUUUUUAUGCUGCACCUAUUUCUGAAAACGUAAAGACUUCAAGUGGCAUUCCAAGUCAAUAUCAAGAGUAUCAAGACGUUUUUGAGAAAAAGAAUGCAGAUAUUCUUCCUGAGCAUCGUCCAUAUGAUUGUUCAAUCGACCUCAAGGAAGGAACUCAGCCACCAUUUGGACCAAUUUACAGUUUAUCGCAAGAUGAGAUGGCUGAACUCAAGACAUAUAUUGACGAGAAUUUAGCGAAGAAUUUCAUACGCCAUUCAAAAUCUCCAGCAGGAGCUCCAAUUCUAUUCGUAAAGAAAAAAGAUGGAUCUUUACGAAUGUGUGUUGAUUAUCGAGGACUCAACAAGAUCACAAUCAAGAACAGGUAUCCAUUACCUUUGAUAUCAGGACUCCUUGACCAGUUGAAUCAAGCUAAAAUCUAUACAAAAAUAGAUCUAAGAGGAGCAUAUAAUCUAGUACGGAUCAAAGAAGGAGAUGAAUGGAAGACUGCGUUUCGAACCAGGUAUGGACAUUUCGAAUAUAAUGUCAUGCCCUUUGGACUCACGAAUGCACCAGCUGCUUUUCAACAUCUCAUGAAUGAUGUAUUUCGUGAAUUCUUAGACAAUUUUGUCGUCUGCUAUCUAGACGAUAUCCUGAUCUAUUCUAAGAACGUCGAAGAACAUGAAAUACAUGUUCGUCAAGUAUUACAAAAACUUAGAGAUGCAGGAUUGUACGCCAAGAUGGAAAAGUGUGUAUUUCACACUACUCAAGUUGACUUUUUAGGAUACAUCAUUUCAAAUGAUGGUCUCAUGAUGGAUUCUAAGAAAGUCCAAACAAUCGUGGAUUGGAAGAUUCCAAGGACAGUAAGAGAUGUUCAAUGUUUCUUGAGAUUUACGAAUUACUAUCGGAUCUUCAUCAAAGAUUUCUCACGAGUUGCAGCUCCACUUACACGCUUGACUAGUAAAGAUAAAUUUCAAUGGAAUCAAGAAGCGGAAGCAGCAUUUGAAGCCUUGAAGACAUCGUUUGUCUCUGCACCAGUCUUAUAUCGUGUUGACUUUUCCAAGGCAUUUUUUAUGGAAACAGAUGCAUCAGAUUUUGCCUUGGGUGCAGUUUUAUCACAAAUGGGAACAGAUGACAAACUCCAUCCGAUAGCUUUUCAUUCAAGAAAAUACUCAGCAGCCCAGAUCAAUUAUGAGAUCCACGAUAAAGAACUUCUUGUAAUCGUGGAUUCCUUUCAAGAAUGGCGUCAUUAUCUAGAAGGCACUUCUAGUCCAGUCACUGUGUAUACAGAUCACAAGAACCUCGAGUAUUUCAUGUCAGCACGCGUGUUGAAUCGUCGUCAAGCUCGUUGGAGUAUGUCUUUGUCAAGAUUCGAGUUCAUUAUCACUUAUCGGCCAGGAAAACAACAAGGUUUAUCCGAUGCCCUAUCUAGACGUUCUUAUUUUGCACCAAAAGAAGGAGAUGCAGCUUUUGAGCAACAAAGAACGGUCCUCUUGAAACCGGAGCAAUUUCAUCUCCGAGCAAUGAAAUCAACAUUGACUGUUGAUUCAACUUUUCUCAAGCAAAUCCAGUCCAGUAUGUCCUCAGACCCUCUUGUUUAUGAUAUCGAGAAUAAUUCUUCCAAGUCUCAUGAUCCUUCUAAGUUUGAGUUCAAGAAUAAUCUAUUAUAUUUUGAAGGACGCCUAUAUGUUCCAGAAGGAGAAGCACGUUUACGUGUUCUUCAAGCACGUCAUGACUUUCCAGCAGCAGGGCACUUUGGAUAUAAUAAGACUUUGGAACUCAUAUCAAGAGAUUUUUGGUGGCCACAAAUGUGGAAGUCAGUCAAAGACUUUGUACAAUCAUGUGAUAUUUGUUCAAGAUCAAAAAUUCCUCGUCAUCGAUCUUACGGACUUCUUCAGCCAUUACCUAUACCAGAACAACCAUGGUCUUCUGUUUCUAUGGAUUUCAUCACAGAUCUCCAAGCUCAAGAUCUUAUGAUUCUAUAUUUGUGAUAGUAGAUCGUUUCACCAAGAUGGCACAUUUUGUGCCAUGUACAAAAUCUAUCACAGGUGAAGAAACAGCUAAGCUUUUCAUUGAUAAUAUCUAUCGCUAUCAUGGAUUACCUAAAGAUAUCAUAUCGGAUAGGGGAACUCAAUUUGUGUCAAGAUUUUGGAGGACCCUUUUCAAGAUUUUAAAAGUGGACAUAAAACUAUCUUCGGCUUUUCAUCCUCAAACUGAUGGACAAACAGAGCGCGUAAACCAAGUCUUGGAGCAAUAUUUAAGGUGUACUAUCAACUACCAACAAGAUGAUUGGACAACCCUUCUGCCAUUGGCAGAGUUUGCUUAUAAUAAUACAGUACAUUCUUCCACGCAACAAACACCUUUCUUUGUCAAUUAUGGCUAUCAUCCACGACUUGAUACUUUUGAUUUUUCAAAAGUUGAUAAUCCUGCAGCAGAAAAUAUGGCAAAUCGGUUGUCAGAGUUACAUGCAAUAAUGAAGACACAAUUGAAGGAAGCUCAAGAACGACAAAAGAUAAACGCAGAUCUAUAUCGUAAGGAGCAACCACAGAUCAACGUGGGUGAUAAGGUAUGGCUACUUCGUCGCAAUAUCAAGACUACUCGACCUUGUGACAAGUUGGACUAUCGUAGGCUUGGCCCCUUUUCUGUUUCUGAACAGAUCAACCCAGUUGCAUAUCGGUUACAUCUACCAGAGUCAAUGAAGAUCCAUCCUGUAUUCCACGUAUCUCUUCUUGAACCAUAUAAGACAGUGGAUAUACAAGGAAGAAGACAAAUGCCACCGCCUCCUAUAGAAGUAGAUAAUAAUGAAGAAUUUGAGGUGGAAGAGAUAUUAGACUCAAGGCGGCGCCGAAAUAAGCUGGAAUAUCUUGUUCAUUGGCGCGGAUAUGAUAUUAGUGAACGCACAUGGGAGCCAUCCAGGAAUCUAGCAAAUGCAUCAACUAAAGUCAAAGUUUUUCAUCAACGACAUCCAUCAAAACCAAGAUGAAAAUCUCUCUUAUAAAAGAGACAAGAUUGAGGCAAGAUAACAUUCAAUUUCCUAUCCUUGUUUGUAACUUCUUUGCAUUUGUGACGCUAAUUAGAUGGAGAGCCAACAACCAGCAGAUUCAACUCAAGAACCUUCGUUUGCUGACCUGCCGGACGAGACAUUACGAUUGUCACAACCUUCAAGACGACGCAAUCGAGAUGAAGAUCUUCAAGAACGACAUGUUCUUCCUCGAAUAGAUGGUGAGAUACAACGCGUUUGGUAUCACGAUUUGGGAAGGGACUCCCGAUGUUUGGUGAUUUUGCUAGAAGUAGGAACAACUCCUGAUGGUGUUCCGAAUAUUCUAUUCGAAGGAAGUUAUGAAGGCCUCAAUAAUGAUCAAAUAACUGGGUGGUCUUCCCGCCCUGGUAUGGGACACUAUCGAUGGUUGAGAGGCCCUAUCAAUCAUCUUCGAAGAGAACAGAGAUCAGAGUAUGUGGCGAAUACAAUUCGUCGCAUCAUAGAUUUCUUCAACAUAUGAUGACCGCUCCUCGUGGAACUCGUCUCUAGAAGGGGGGGUAAUGUCACGGCCAUAAUCAUGUAAGCUAAUAAUUACAUAUAGAAAUAGGUAGAAGUAAGUAAAAGUAGAUAAAAGUAAGUUAAUUCUAUAAUAUUUAAUAUAGAAGCUUCCUAGAAACUUCCUAGAUGCUGCUUUGACUUCAUAGGUGUCUUUAAUUGACUUUUUGGAUUAGAAACGUGGUCAAAAAGUUGGCCAUGUGCCACACAUGUUGUUAGCUUGAAGAUCAAGCUAACUAUGUGGCCCACACGUAGAAAAACUUGCCUUGUAAGUCAAGGCAUGUGUCCUACAAAGUCAACACAUAUUGGAGGUCCUAUAGAACGUCGCCACGUAGCCCCUAGUUAGAUAGUAUAUAUAGAGACAAGAGUGAAGGCUUCUUCACUCUUGUCAACUCCUUUCUUGCUUCUAGUCCAGGUUCAAGAGUCUUUAGUUUCUUGUCUUGUGGCAAUAGCCAUUCCAGUUUCCUUUUAAUAUACCUACUUGUUUAUAUUUUGACUUAUUAUAUCGAGAUAGCCUUUUGGUGUAUAUUUUUCCUCAUCGAGUCUUUGUUCUUGACAAAAGGUAACCAAUGUCUAACAAGGGUGACUCUAAAUAUUUAGAAGUUACUAUCAACCAAAACCAAUCUUAAAAGCCACUAUCAAAAGAAAUUAAAGUUAUACAAAUUCUAUCGUAAUCUUUUUAAACAGCCUCUUUUCAAGGUAAUAAUCAAAUUAUUUUCUACAACCAAUUAAAAUCUAUUAACAUGGCUCUCAGUAUGUUACUUAGUAAAUUAUAUAUUAAGUACAUAGUUACAUUAUUUUCAUAUAGCAGCUGAAUCACAACACGACAAUGUACCUAACUUGCAAAAUAAGUUUCCUACAUAAGUAUUGCAUGGCCAACUUGUACCAUAAGUUGCCAACAUGUGUGAUACAUGGCUAACUUGUUGGCUAAGUUUCUAACCUAUCAAUCAACUACAAACAUGUAUAAAGUCAAAUCCGCAAUUAUGAAGCUUUUGCUAAUGAUAUUAUCAAAUCCACCUAUGUGUAUCUUCUACUUAAGACUUCUUAUUAAAGUAAUUAUAUAUAUCCGUGACAAAACUUACAUUACUUUAUAUGUGAUCUUUUAGAAAAAAAUUACCAAUAAAAACUUUAAUUGGAUGGACUCAUUACAUUUACUUAUAAUUUCUAAAAUCCUCUAUUAUAUAUUUAUUGCUAAUUUUGUCCAAGUAUAUUUUUAGAGUAUAAAAAUCUAGAUUUUUUUAAAUAUCUAAUAGAAUACUAUUCUUGCUGAAAUUUACUUUGAUUAAUUAAUUAUUUUAAAAAAUAAUUAUCUAAUUUAUUUAUUAUAAUAAAAAAUCAAAUAAUUAUAAAAAUGCUUUAAAAUAUUGGCAAGUAUGGCCACAUGUACACCUAGUACAAGGCACACUUCUAUUGUGAUAAGUCUUUGUAAUUAAUCAACUUAUUUGCCUCUUGCUUUCUAUUCUAUGGAUCAUAAAAUAUAGAAUUCCUAGACCUUCAUGGCUUUAUAUUCAAUUUAUGUAGAUAACAAACUUAGAUGGAAAAUUAGAGGCACUAUACAUCAUAGAGGUGGCACACAAGCACCAAAGUGCAAAAUUGUUUUCUACACAUCCAAUCAAUCAAGCUUCUUGAUCUUUACAACUUUCCCAAAGCAUACUAAGAAAAAAUCUACACCAUACUUUAGAUAAGCCUCAUGUGUGUGAAUCAAACACAAUGAAAUGCUAUUCAAAUUCUUUGUAAUUUCCCAAAAGCCUCCAAAAUUGCAUAAGUACCACUUUGCAUCUGCAUAUUGGCCACAUUUAGUACAAGUACCCCAUGUCAAAGCUUCUACUUCAAACAUGGAAAACUCAAUCUCUAGUACUCCAUCCAUUGCACCAGUGGCUAUCUCAAAAAUUCCCCAAGCCAAUAACUCUCCGCAGUCAAACAUGUCAAUACCAGGAUUCUGUACUUUUUCCUACUGAAAAAUCACUGCCACAGACUCAAGUUUGUGAAAUUCAUUUUGAUGUGUUAACAGUCUGCUAUUGGCUCUUCUUUUUACAGCAUCUGGGGGCAUUAAUGCAUAGCUUUUCUGCACCACGUUGUCUUGCAGAAGGAUGUCAUAAUCACCUCCAAAUUCCCUUGAAUCCCCAUCAUCUCCAACGUCAUCCGUUCCAGCCAUUGAACAACCCACCGCAUCUCCACCGUAUGGAAAAUACAGGGCCCGGUAAAACGCCACACUGGAAUACGAACCCUAUCCAAUCCUGCACAAGACGGGAAGGAGAUGAUGCACAGGACGAAUGUUUUCAAGGCUUGGUUCGCCCUACGAUCAUGCAGCGCCAAAGCAUGGUUUCGUGGUGUAAAGGCAAAAACCAGACAGGGUGAUUUAUUUUCUUUUUGAAGUUUUUUGGUUGCUCGUUACGGUGCAUUUGCAGAUUUGUCCAAACAUAUGAAAUGUCUCCAAGUGGCUCGUAGCUACUGUCGCACGCAGUGUCCGCCCGCAAGUGCCACCUCCUCAGUUUGCAUUCCUUGUUGGGUGUUCCUUGGGUUCAUCUGUAGUCUUGCUUGGUUCACCCACAGUUUGUGCUAUUGGUUUUCUGCAUUUUGUGGUGAGAUUGUGCGGAGAAUUUAAAAUCCUGUAGCCUUUCGUUUGUGUAAUUAUUUUUCCUGAAUUGGGGGGAAGCAAUUUCUGUAGUAUUUCGGGUUUGAGGCGAAGCGUAGUGGUUAUGGCGGAGGAGUUAGUAGAUAUCGUCAUACUGGGUGCCUCAGGUUUCACUGGGAAGUAUGUCCUCCGUGAGCUUCUGAAAUUCGCCAACCCACCCAAUUCCGUUCCUCGGAAAAUCGCCAUUGCUGGUCGCUCCAAAGAAAAGCUCGCCGCUGCUUUGACAUGGGCAUCCGGUGACAAGAAUCCUUCUCUAAGCUCGUCGAUUUCCAUAUAUGAAGCAGACGUCAACAAUGUUCAAUCUCUCAUCACUCUAUGCAAGAAGACUAAGGUUCUUGUGAGCUGCGUUGGCCCUUACAGAAAGUAUGGGCGGCCUGUUGUUGAGGCCUGUGUGGAGGCCGGAGUCGAUUAUCUUGACAUCACUGGAGAGCCAGAGUUUAUGGAGCAGAUGGAGCAUCUGUAUCAUGAGAAGGCUUCUCAGACUGGUUUGUUGCAAAUGCCCACUGAUGUGAUAAGCCUAUCAUGUGAUAUUUCUUCUCUCUCCCUCUCUGUUUUGCGAAAAACGUAUUGGUGUUUUGAUGAAGGCAUUGUGGCGCGAAUACUUUGAAAAGACUUUCAGGAUUGAUUGCAGUCUUGAUCAUGCAUCGACUCGCAUGAUGUUAGCAAUUGUGUCUCGUUUUUGAAUACGAAUCUAUUCAUGAUGCCGUCCAGGGUCAUUGGUGGUGAGCGCGUGCGGCUAUGACUCAAUUCCGGCGGAAUUUGGUGUUAUUCACAACACACAACAGUGGGAAUCUCCUUCUGUGCCCAACUCGGUCGAUUCGUAUCUUAUUCUCGAAACUUCCGGUAAGAGCAUCAAGGGGAAUAUAGGAACGUGGGAGUCUCUAGUCCUGGGCGUUGCUAAUCAAGCCAACCUUCAGAAGUUCCGAAAAUCAAGACCUCGUCGCUCUCGUCCUCAGGUAAAUAAUGUUCAUCGCCUGAGUUUGCUCGUCUCAGGUUGCCUUAAGGAUAUCGAGUUUUGGUGGCAAGGCAUUCACCUCUUAUUCCAGCACUUCAUGAGAUCUAUGAAGCUGAUAGCUAAGCUACCUGAAAACUUGAACAUAGUUAGAAUUUGGCGCCCGAAUCGUGGCAGGUGUCAGUGAUGCAGCACCCUGCUAUUUUUCUCUUGUUCCUGCUGUCAAUGCUCCCCCGCAUAAUCUGGAAAGUUGUGAUUCUCUUUAAUCGGUUGAGUGAUAUUGUACCAUCGAUUUCAGGGUCCCUUUGACACAUGAGCACCGUAGAUUAAGUAAACCCUUUGUCCGAUUCUGUAAACUUGGCAGCCAUUGGAAGACUAAGAAAUAAUCGAUGAGUUCAAUCAUCAUUCUUUACUGAAUUUUGUUGCGACGUAAAUUUAAAUUUAGAAUAUGUAUCAUAGGUUGAGAAAUAUUUGGAAACUUUCAAUCAUUUCCCAUAUGAGAGAUCUCAUUGUGAGUGUUAUUAAUGAAUAUUAGUAAACAUUUUGCACAAUGUCUUCGAGAGGGAAUCCUGGUUUUCUUAGAAUUCUAAGAGUCACCUUGGCUUUCUUUUGUAGAUUCCAACAAAUUCUAUGAAGCGCGGGUUGAUCCACUGGGAGGAAACCACAAGCGGAUGGGCUAUCAAGCUUCCAUCCGCUGAUGCAACUGUAGUGCGCCGCACACAUGCCACAGUGAUCGACAACCCCAAUGGGCUUCCCAAAGCAUCAGAAGACUCACCCCUCGAUGAACACCCAUGGACAUCCAUCAAGCCAGUCCAUUACGGGUGCUAUGUUGUGCAGAAGUCAGUUAUGGGAGUAAUAGGAAUGUUCAUCUUAGGCUUCAUUUUAGUCAUAUUUGCGCAAUUCAAAUAUGGUCAGAAGCUAUUAGUGCAAUACCCAGAGCUUUUCUCUUUGGGUAUAUUCCACAAGGAGGGUCCUAGUGAAGAAGAAAUUCAAGCAGCGUCUUUCAAGCUGUAUUAUGUGGGCCGAGGGUAUUCUGAUGCUGCUCAGGUGACACCUAGUAAGAAGCCGGACAAGGAAAUUGUCACCAGGAUUGUGGGACCUGAAAUUGGAUAUGGAAAUUGUCACCAGGAUUGUGGGACCUGAAAUUGGAUAUGUGACUACUCCUAUAGUGCUCAUUCAGGCGGCCUUGGUCAUGUUGGACGAACGGAGAAGGCUUCCAAAGGGAGGGGUUCUCACACCAGGGGUAGUGUUUGGUGGGACUGACUACUUGCAGCGAUUGCAACAGAACAGGAUAAGCUUUGAUGUUAUCAGUAAUAAGAAGAUCUAGAGGAAGCAACAUUCUUCACCCAGAAUCAUGAAUCUACAGACUCACAGUAAUCAAUGCUCUACCGUUUGUUGUAUUUCUUCUAGGGGGACACCUGGGGUUCCAUUCUUUUAGGCUUAAUCAUAGGAAUUGGACUAUUUCUUGAACCUGGUAAUAGACUUCAGUUGAUUGAAUCUUACAAGCUCUUUGUUUUUAUAUUGUUGUAUCUAUGUGUUGAUGAAUCAAUAAAAAUAAAAAAAUAAUACAUGUAUAUUAUCAAUAUAUUUGAAAUUUUUUACUUGGUAUAAUUUAUAUUUUUAACUUUGAAAAUUGUUAUGACUAUUGUGGUUGUUUUCAAUCUUAUUUUUAGUUGUAUUUGAAUGAUGAAGCCUUAUUAGUUCUUUAUUAGUUCCUUAUUAGUUGUAUUUAAUUGAUGAAUUCUUAAAACUUUGAUCUUGUACCAUCAAAUUUUUUGAACAAAGUAUUUCUUAGUUCUUUAAUAUUAGAAUGGUGAUAUACUAUAAGAGAAGUAAUAUGAUUUGGUCAAGAUAUUGAAGCAGCUUCAGUCAUCUUUAUAUCUUCAAUUCCUAAGAAUCUUGUUACUCCAUGUAGUGGUAAAUUGAAUUGAUGCAUUACAAAUAUUAAAUCUCUCAAUUAUUCUUGCAUUCUUCAUUUCAAUAAUCUUUGCCAUAAUAACAUUAAAAAACUAAUAUGUUUAAUAUUGCUUAAGAGGAAUAGAAGAAAAGACUUGAAAACAAAGAAAUUGCUAAAAACAAUAUCAAUUUAAAAGAGAGUAAUCUACAACUUCUAAUAUGUUUAUGACUUAUCAAGAAAAAGAAGUAAUCCAUUCUUAAUGAAGAAAAGACAAAACUUUGAUAUUAUUAGUAUACUCUUGUAGAUUUGACAAGGAUAAGAACUUGAGAUCCAAUAUUAGAUAACUUAAAAUUAUUUUUGAUGAAAUUUUAAUCCAAAUAUAGACAACAUGAUGCAAUUUGUAUUGUAAGCAACAAGAUUUGUGUUUUGUAACAAGAUAAUUGAUUUAUAUCAUUAUAUGCUUCAUAAUUUUAAUAACUUAUAAUUGAUAUCAAGUAUGAUGAUAUUGCACUUAUUAGCCAAUUUUUUUUUAUAAAUAAUAAUAUGAGGUAAAGAAAUUGAUAUUCAACUUAUUUGAUCUUUAGACAUUGAGUUAAGCAAUUGAUUUUAUUGUAAAGUAGAAUAAUUGACUUUUUAAAUUUUUAUUUAAGAAUCACAUAAAUAGACCUCAAUAUUUUUAUAAUUUAAUGGAAAAAUCCACAUCUUCUAAAUAUGUACAUUCAAAAGUGGAAGAUAUACAAAUUAAUGUGAAACAUUUCAAACCACUUAUUAAUUUUUUAUUAAAAAAAAAAAAAAAAGUUAGUAAGAAGAAUUAUACUUAUAUUGUGGAGAACCUAAGCAUACUACUCAAUAUUGUUCAAAAAUGUGACAUAACCACAAAAUGAGAAGUAUGGCUAUGAAAUAAGAUAAUAUGUCAAAAAAAAAUUGUCCAAUUAUAAUAAGAAUCAUGUAAUUGGAACCUUAUAUAAUACUUAAUAAAGAUUCUAUUCAAUCCACAAAACCCUCUAUUUGUUUCACAAUAGAUGUUAGUUUAGGACCUAAACAUCACAAAGUGUGUGUCUUAUUGGAUUCAAGAAUCUUAGCUUAUUUCUUAAUGAAGAGUUUAUUAAAAAAUAUAACAUAUCUUUAGUAAAAAAACUAAAUAUAUUCAUAUAGAAAUCAUAGAUGGUUAUGUAUUAUCUUAUAAAGAUACUAUUUAUGAAAUUUUUAACAUAGAAAUAGUAAUUAGUAGUCAUAAUAGCUUUGUGAUAUUUAAUAUAAUUAAAUCUCUUUCUAAUCAAGUCAUUUUAGGACUAGAAAAGUAAAAUUCUUAAAUAGAUUGAAUUAAUUGUAGUUUUAACUUUUUUCAAAGUAAAAUUAAGAAUUUUGAGAAUUAAAUAAAAAGUUAAAAAUCUAAUGCAACCAAAUUCUUAUUUAUAAGUAGAAGAGCUUUUUUGCAUGCUGCAACCAAAGGAUUAGUUUAUGUUAUUAAUGAAAUACUUAUUUCUAAUGGUGGAAAGACUUUAAAUGACAUUCUAAUCAAUAAGCAACGAGAUAGAUUAGUUCACAAAUAGGAAAAUGUCUAAGCCUACAAUAGUCCAAAUUAUCAUAAUAACAAAUAGUCUUAAUAUUAUAAUAAAGUACCUAUACCUUACUAAGUUGUGGUUGUUCCUUUUGAUAAGCAUUUGAAUUAAUCUUUUAUUGUUCUUGAGCUUCCUUCAAUUGCACCUUCAUUGUUGUAUAUAGCAUUGAUAAAUAAUUUGUCAAAUCUUCUACCACAGGAUUAUUAAUAUUUGAAAAGUCAAAAAUAUCAAAUUAUAGAUAAUAACUAUAAUUAACAAAAAAAGGUGGUUCUUGUAUAGAAAAAUGCAUCAAAUUAUUAUAAAUAAACUUUACCAAUGGCAAGAGGGUCUUUCAAUUGUCUUAUUCAUAAUUCAUCGUAUACCUUAAAUAUUGCUCAAAAACUUGGUUUAUAAGCUCUAUUUGUCCAUCUAUUUGAGGAUGAAAGGCCAAAGAAAACUAUAUGUUCAUCUUUGGAAUCUUAAAAAGGAUUUUUAAAAAUCUUGAUACAAAUUGAAUACUCUUAUUUAAUAUAAUACUUUUUAGCAAUCUAUCAUAUCGAUAGAUAAUAUGAAAAAAAAUCUUGGUAGUUUUUUCACCUAUGAUAAAUUUUGUGCAUGGUACAAAAUGUGCCAUUUUAGUAAAAUGAUCUAUUAUUACAAAUAUAGAAUCACACAAACUUGAGAUUGAAAGAUCCAUAAUAAAAUCUAUAAAAAUAAAAGAUCGUGGCUAUUUUAAAAUAGGUAAUGAUUGAAGAAGUCCAUAAGAUUGAUGACGAGGAGUUUUUGACCUCAAACACAUGUCAUAUGAUUAAACACAGUCUUUUAUAGCCUUUCAUAUUUGCGACCACCAAAAAUCUUUAGAUAGUAGCUCCAAAAUCUUAUUGUAUUCAAAAUAUCUUAUUACUGCAAAGUUGUGAGUAGCUUGAAGAAUACAUAAAUGUACUACUUUUUUUGGAAUAUAUAUGCAUUCUUUGAAAUAAAGUAGAUUCUUCUUGAACUCAAACUUGGAAGUAUCAAAAGACUUAAAAGAAGUAUUUUUGAUAUCAUGAACAAGAGGAUCAAAGGACAUACUUAAUUGAAUUUGCUUAAAAAAAAUUGAAUCAACAAUCAAUGUUGAUUUCACUACUCAAAGAUGAAAUUGUUCUAGCUUGAAUAAUUUUUUUUUUUUAUUGAUCAAAAAUUAUAUCUCUUUCUUUUGGUGCACAAUAAGAACAUCUAGAAAGGAUAUCAAACAAAUCUUGUUGUUUUCCUAGCCAAUAAGUGAUAUUGAACUCAAAUCUUGACAAAGACAUACUUCAAUAAGCCUAGCAACAAUUCAAAACAUGUGUUGAUACAAAAUACUUGAGGUUCUUGUGAUUCAUAUAUAUAUGGUGACUAGACUAGAAGUAUUUUUUAAAUAAUAAUGCUAUUCUUGAAAAGAAUCCACAACUACAAGAAAUUCUUUCUUGUAGAUCUCAUAGUUAAUUUUGGCUAUUGAGAAUUUCUUGAAAUAAAAAGCUACUAGGUGGAAUUUGUCAUCUUCACCUAUUUGUGACAAAACAACAUCUAUAGCAAAAUCUGAUGUAUCUAUUUUCAUACAAAAUACCUUUGAAAAGUCAAUGCAAUAGAAGAUUGGUGCAAAAAUAAAUGUCAACUUUAAAGCUUCAAAAGGUUCUUCACUUCUUUGCUUCAAUUAAGUUUGUCUUUUCAUGUAAGAUAUAUAAGAAGAGCCACAACUUGAAAAAAAUUCUUGAUAAAGAUCGGAUAGUAAUUGGCAAAGCCCAAAAAAACAUUGCACAUCUCUUACUAUUCUUAAAAUCUUUCAAUAUAUAAUAGUUUGAACCUUCUUUGGAUCCAUCAUAAGUCCUUUGUUUGAAAUGAUAUAUCAUAUGAAGUCAAUUUGAAUAGUAUGGAAUAUACACUUUUUUUCUUCACAAAUAAUAUAGGAGCUCUUGCAAGAGAUUUCAAAUGGCAUAUGAAUUUUUUAGCCAAGUUCUUGUCAAUGUAUUUCUUGAAUUUAGUCAACUCAUUUUGUGAUAAACUGUAGAUUGGACCAAAUGGUGGUUAACUUCCUUCUUUAAGGUCGAUUGAGCUAUCAUAUGGAUGAUUCUCUAAGAAAAUAUCUAUAUUCUUUUUUUAAAAAAAUAACUUAAAAAUCUUGAUAUUAACUUAGAAUGCCAUUUGAAAUCUUUCUAAUAUUAAAAAUAGGUGGCAUAAAUAACAAAAGACAAUCCUUAUUUUGUAGCAUACAAAAAAGCUUUUAUGUUUAUGAAUAUGGAUUUGGCUAUAUUACACUCAUGGCUUUCUACAAAACUCUUAAUAGUACUUUAAGAAAAUUUAAGUUUUUAAGAAAUCCAAUCUAUCAAAGAAUUAUAUUUUUUUACCCGUGAUAAAUUUAAAAUGACUAGAUUAGAAGGAGACUUAAUUAUAUUAAAAAUUAUGUAACUAUUAUGACUAUUUAUUGCUAUAUCUAUAAGAAGUGUCUCAUGAAUAAUAUCUCCAGAAGAUAAUAGAUGACCAUCUAUGAUUUCUAUAUAUAUGAAUUUAGUUUUUUGUAUUAACAAUAUUCUAUGGUUUUUAACAGAUUCUUCAUCUAAAACAAAAAGUUGAGGCUCAUGAAUCUAUCAAGAUAGAGGCUUUGUAUUUAUUAGGUCCUAAAUACACGUCUAUUAUAAAAUAAGGAGAGGAUUCUGAGGAGAAGGUAAGACCUUCAUUUGUAUAAGAUUUUAGUUGCGCAGUUCUUAUUAUAAUUGAACAAGUUUAUUUUUUUGACAUUUUUUCAUCUUUGACAAUUGUACUUUGUAUAUUGUAGUUGCGUCAUUUUUUUAGAUAAUGUUGAGCAGUAUGCUUAGCUUCUCCACAAUAUAUUCAUAAUCCUUCUCGACGACGAUGAGUCUUUUCUUAUUCAAUAAGAGGUUUAAAACAUACCACAUCAAUUUGCAUAUCUUCUACUUUUAUAUGUUUAGAAUGAAAGAUUAUCAAUAUUGUUAUUGAAUUAUAAUAGUAUGGAGGUUUUUUUGGGUGAUUAAUAGAUUGAAAUUCAAAAAGUUGAUUGUCACACUUUAUAGCAAAGUUAAUUAAAUGACUAAAUGUUUGAAGAUCAGAUAAGUUGAGCAUCAAUUUCUUUAUCUUAUAUUAUAAUCUGUAGAAAAAUUGGUUAAUAAGAGCAGCAUCAUCUCACUUAACAUCAAUUACUAGUUAUUAAAUUUGUAAAGUAUAUGAUGUCAUUGAUCAAUUGCUUUGUCAUAAGAUACAAAUUUUAUUAGUUACAACAUGAAUUGCAUCAUAUUCUCUAUACAUAGAUUGAAAUUCUAUCAAAAAAGCUUUCAAAAUAUCUAAUAUUAUAUCUUAUCAUUCAAAAAAAGUUAAAAACCAUGAUAAUGCUAAAUCUAAAAGAAGUGUAUCAAUGAAUUUAACUUAUGAACUUGGCAUUGGAUAGAUUUAGAAUUGAAGUUCAAUCAUAGGUUGUGCUUGAUUGAUAAAUUCUUUAAAUUUAGAUCUUGUGCCAUCAAACUUCUCGGAUAAGGCAACUAUGGAUUCUUUAACAAUAGAAGGAUGUUUUUCUAUAGGAGAAAUGAUGUAUUUUGAUAUAGAUGUUGAAGUAGCUCCAAUCAUGUUUGUAUCUUUACUUCUUGUUAUUUUUGUUGUUCCAAGUGGCGAGAAACUAAGUUGAUGCAUUGCAAGCAUCAACUCCUUCAAUUGCUCUUGCAUUUAUACCAUUGCACUCUUUAUUUCAAAAAGAUCUAUCAUAAUAAAGCUUAGAAAAAAAAAUUCUAAUAUUAAUCAAGACAAGGAGAUGAAAGGACUUGAAAACAAAGAAAAUAUUAAGAAUAAUAUUAGUUUAGAAGAGGGUAAUUUGUAACUUCUAAUAUGCUUAUAUUUUUAUCAAGAAAAAGGAAUAAUCUACUCUUAAUCAAAAGAAGAUAAAGCUCUAAUAUUAUAAGUGCACUCUUAUUUAUGUAUUAAAGAUAUGAACUAAAAGAAGAUGCAUAAAUCUAAGAAACUUAUGUCAAAAAAAAAGUAAAAAAAUAGAAAUAAAGAAGUAUGUAUAUUAAAAAGAAAUAAGAAUAGCUAUUGCCAAAAGAAAAGGAAACUAGAGACUCUUGAAUCUAGAUUAGAAGUAAGAAAGAAAUCCACAAGAGUAAAAAAGGCCCUAUUCUUGCCUCUAUGUAUACCAUGUACUUAGGAUCUAUGUAGCAACGUUCUAUAGGACCUCCAAAAAUGUGUUGACUUUGUAUGAUAUCAAACUUGACUUACAAGGCAAGUUUUUUAUAUGGAUGCUAUAUAAUUAGCUUUUUUUAUAAGCUACUAAUAGAAGUAAUACAUGGGUAGCUUGUUGAUCAAGUUUCUAGCCUAUCAAUCACCUACAAACAUGUACAAAAUCAAAACAAUAUCUUAAAAAUUUCUAAGAAGUUUUUUUAGAAGGUAUUUUGAAAUUAGUCUACUUUUAUCUAUUUCUACAUAUUGAUAUUAUAUAAGUUAAAAUUAUAUAUAUAUAUAUAUAUAUAUAUAUAUAUAUAUAUAUAAUGCAUUCAUUAAGACAUAUAAAGAUAAAUAAAUUUAAUAGCCUAAAGAGCUUUGAUUUGCUUUAUAGACUAAUAGAACUAUUUAUAAUACUAUCAUUAAUUAUAUGCCUAUAGAAUUAAUAUUAGAACAAAAAUCUAUAAUGCCAACAAAAGAAACCUAUCAUAUAUGGAUGUUUUUACUUUAAAAAGAUGACAUUAGUAAAAGAAAAUUAUUGAAACUUCAAAUCCAACAAUUGGAUUAUACAAGUUUAAAGGAGGUAGAUGUCAUGUUGAUAAGUAGGAUAAUAUGUAAAAAUAAUGUAAAAUAUUAUGGAAAUUUGGAAUAUAAUUAAAAAAUUAAAAUAAGAUAAAAAUUAAAAAUAAAUAUAAUAAAAUAUUUAUCUAAUUUAUUUAAGAUUAUAUUUUAAUUUUUUUAAUUAAAGAUAAAAAUUGUAAGAUUUAUUAGAAAGAAGUUUAGAAAGGCAUUGUCAACGUAGAGAGAGUUUGCCUCAAGAAAGCAAUAGGCUUCUAGCUGCUACUAAUUGCUCAAUCAAGUCUUGAGAAAAGAAAGAAUAAGUUCAUGUAUAUAUAUAUAUAUAUAUAUAUAUAUAUAUAUAUAUAUGUAUAUUACUUUUAGGUGCUAUUAUAUCAAAUAUAUAAGUCUUAAGUUUCUAAAAACACCCAAAAUAUGAUUAAACCUCUAAAUCCUUAAAUAUUCUUAUAGGAAAAUUUUUGUGAACUUAAAUACCUUAUAUCUCCUAAUUCGACUGUCCAAACUUAUUCAAAUUUUUUAUGAAAUAUUGAUAUAUUUUUUUCAACUUCUACAACAAAUUUCAAGUGUAAAUUCAUUGCGGAUCUUAAGAUAUCACUAAAAUCCUAAUAAUAGCUUUAAACCCUAGUUUUUAUACACCUGUGUCCAAUUUUCUUCAUAUCUCGCAAAUUAAACAUCCAAAUGCCAAAAUGUUUGUAUAUAUAGUUUUUUAACAAAAUCAUCUACCUUCUUUAAAAGAUUUGAGUCAAAAUGUCUUCCAGAAACUUAAGAUAUGGCUCCAACCAUUACUAUGAACCAAAUCACUUACUUUCUACCUUUGAUUUGGAUGCACUGACUUCAACCCUCUAUAAUUUCUUCAUCCAAAUUCCAAAUUUAUUAAACAAUUAUAACAAAUGUAGUCAAAAAAGUUUUCUCUCCAAUCUUUAUCAUCAAUCCUUUGUUGCUCUUUGCAAAUGUAUGUUAUGCUCCAAAGAGUGAUAGUAGAUACAAAAUUGACACCUUAACUUUGAGUGCCAAUAACUCCUUUAUAAAAACUCCAAAUAACACAAAAUUUGCAUCCAGUCCAUAUUCAAAAAUCUUAACUUGAUGACCUUAGCCUCUUAAGUUCAAAUGACUAUGAAAGAGAAAUCCUAAUCUCUAAUAAGACCUCAAGAAACCUCCUUGAAGCCCAUUGGGAAUGGCCUUCGACUAAUAAGAAUGAAGAUUCUCAUUCCUUGCUUUCAUCCCUCCCAAUAAGUCUCCUACUAGUUAAGAUUUUUUUUUUUAGGCUCUAAUCUCCUCUUAAGGCUUUAUACUAAAUAUUUAGGUCAUAUAAUUUUUUUAAAUGCUAUAAUCAAAAAAGAUAAAACUCAAAAUAAGGUUUUUUAUAUCUAUUCUCUUUAAAUUAAUCUAUUGGCCAUUCUUAUAUAUACCAAGACGUAUGAACAAGUUGUAUGUUCUAAUUAAUUUUUACAUACCAUAAGUAAUUAUAAUACAAUAGUGUUAGAGUCAAAAGUAUAAUAUUUUGACUUCUAGACCAUCCUAUGUAAGUAGAUAAGAUGAGUGACAAAGGAUUUCAUUUCUAUUGAUUCAAAGUCAUGUCCAAUGGGCUUUGAGAUAUUAAUUGGAACCACACUAGAGUUUGAGACCACUUUAGGUCGAUGUAUUUGAGAUAAGAAAGACCAUUUAAGGCAAGAUAAUUUCUUUGAAGUUUAGAGGUUUGAUUCAAAAAAAUUAUAUUGUGGAUUAGAUUUUAGAUGAAAGAAAUGGAUGAUUUGGAGUUAUAAGGAAAGAAUUAUGGUUGUUUGAAAUUAGGGUGUGAUUUUAGAUAACUAUUGCUACUCUUUUGAGCAUAUAGAGAGUUAUAAGAAAGCUUUGAAGAAUCAAGAAAUAAAGUUUAAAAUCUAACUUUAAGAGCUAUAUUUUAUAUAAGAAUAUUAAUAUGUUUUGGUCUAGAAUAAAGGAAAAAGAGCUGUUGGAAGUUAGUGUUCAAAACUAGGAUUUGUAAGUGAAUUGGUUUUAAUAGAUGUCCCAAUUUUUGCCAUAUUUUAAAUUUUUGGAUAAAUUUUCAGCUCAAAAUUUCCACAAAUAUAGAUGACUAUGUUAAAAAGUUGUAUAUAAAAAAUUUAUAGUAUUUGAAGGUUGAAUUUUUGAAAUAUAAAAGAAUUAGUGUGUAAGUGCUUAAAAAUUGAUAUGUUUAGUACCUGCUAGAGAUUAGGUGAUAUCCAAAGACUUGUAAUGAAUUUAUAGUUGGAUUUUUAUGUAGAGGUAGUGAAAGAUAUAAAUUAACUUGUAGAGAAUUUUGAACCCAACUAGUGAAUUAGAUUAGAAGUUAUUAAAUAAUACAUAUAUAGAAAAUAUUCUUACAAGAAUAGAAGUGAAUUUAGGAUAUUUAGUCACAUCUUGGAUACUCUUGUGCAUCCUAGACUUAUAUAUUUGAUGUAUUUAUCUUUUUGAAGAGAAGCUAAAAAUCCUAUUUAUAUUUUAUAAUCUUGCAACUUGUUUGAGUGAUUGUUGGCAACUAAAGGCUUAGCACUUUCUUGAGGCAACUUUCUCUACUACAACAAUACAUAUGAUUAUUCUGAUUGUACCACAUGUAUUUCAAAAUUUGAAGCCAAUUUUAGUACCAAAAAUACAUUUACUAAGCUUCAUAGAAUUAUUGAAAGAAAAGAUAAAGACGAAGAUUUUGGAAUAUUUUUUUGCACUAUUUUCUAGUCGAUGGUUUUCAAUGCCUAAAAAAAAUGGAUCAUUAUGAUUUAUUUAAGAUAUGCAACUAAUAAAUAUAGUGACUAUCAGAAAUGCAAGAAUUGGACCAAUAGUUGAUGAAUUUGUUGAAGAAUUUGUAGGAAGGACAAUCUAUUCAAUGAGUAAUUUAUAUUUAGGCUAUAACCAAUUUCAACUUACAAAAAGGAAUAGAGAUAUGACAACAAUGAGAAUACUACUUGGACUCAUUAGAAUGUGUAUCCUUUUUCAAGGUACUACUAACUCAAUUGUGUAUAUGAUAAAUGAAAUGAAUAAAGUAUUGAAGGAUUUUAUUUUCAAGAAGACUACGUAUUUUUAGAUGAUGUUUCUAUUAAAGAGUACAAAGAAGAAGAUAAGAAUGAAACUUUUGAUAAGAGAAGGUAUUGCAGGUAUAUUAUUGAUUUUAUACAAAAUUAUAAAAAAAUAUUGAUUCAACUUGAAGAAAUUCAUCUUACAUUAUCAAGUGUAAAAUCUACAUUUGGAAUAUAAGCGGUUGUAAUUAUUAGAUAUUUAUGUGGAUUUGAUAGAAGAAAAUCAGAUGCAACUAAGGUUGAUAUAAUUGAAAGAAUAAAAGAGGAUUGGAAUUCUUUAAUAGAAAAGUAUAGAUUUUUGGAUGCAUAUAUAUUUUAUCAUAUUUAGAUUCUUUACCAUGAUCACAUAGCAAAUUCAUUAUAUGAAUUAUUAAGCAAAGAUUAUCAAUUUAAAUUAAAAAAAAGUAUAUUAAAGUAGUACAAAGAUUGAAGAAAUUAUUGAAAUUAUCUCCAAUAUUGAAAAGAAUUGAUCAUAAGUACAAUAGAUCAUUGAUUCUUAUAAUGGAUACUAAUCCAAUUGCUAUUGGAUGGACUAUUGGUCAAGAUAAUUUGAAUGGAUACAAAUUUGCACUUUGAUUUGGAGCUAAGAUUUUAAGUAGUCAUAAAUAUGCAUAUUUAUAAGUGAAAAGUGAAUUAUGUAGAGUUAUUUCAAUUAUAAAAGUUAAAAUAGAUUAUUUGAUUGGAGCAAUGGUGGUGAUUGAAAUAGAUUGUUUGCCUUUACUUGAAAUGAUUAUUAAUUCCACAAUACCAGAUAUUAUAAUAUUAAAAUGGAUUCUUUAUAUCAAGUCAUUAAAUUUAGAAUUUAGGCAUGUUGUGGAGAAAGACAAUCUAGUAGUACAUAUGUUAUCUUAAGCAAAAUAUGAUAGAAAAGAUGAGAUGAUUGAAAAUAUUGAUGAUAUGGACAUAAAUUUUAUUUGGUUUUAUUAUUGAACAAGGAAGAUAAGUUAUUUCAUGAAAAAAAUUCUGAAAGAGAAUUACUGAAUGUUAGAUAUUAUUUGAAAAAAAUAAUUAAGCAUGCUAAUUAGUUGAUAAAAAAAUUAAAUAGAUUUAAAAAAAAACAUAUAAGUUCAUAUUACAAAGAAGAUUUCUAUAGUAGAGGCCAAAAUAAAAUAUUAAAAUACUAUAAUAAGUAGUAGGUAUAAAAGAAGAUCAACAAAAACUACUCAAGGAAUUUCAUGAUAGUCUAUAAGCAAGGCAUAGAGGAAUUUGGGCUACUUUUGUUAAAUUGAAGGAACAAUAUUGGUAGAAGAAUAUGUAUUAAGAUGUAGCUUCAUUUAUAGAAUCAUAUAUUAUUUGUCAAAUAUAUUCAAAUAUAUGACAUCAAGAUGGUCUUCAUCUAACAUAUCUUUUGACUAUUGAUUUUAAGUGGAUUAUAGAUUUUAUUAUUAUGCCAAUAAGACUAUGGCAAAUGAAAUAUUUGGUUUUGGCUUGUGAAGUUUUAUCAAACCAAGUGGAAGACAUGGCUUUAAGAAGAAAGUCUAUAGAAGGAAUUUGCAUGUUUUUGCUUGAGAAUGUCAUUUGGUACUAUGGACAUAUAAAAAAGAUUAUUGUAGAUUCUAGAGAAUUGGAUGUAUGUAAAGCUUGUGAAUUCUUUAAGACAUACAAAAUUAAAUUAUCAUUAAUUAAUACUUAUAUUUUAUAGAAGAAUGUAAAAAGUGAAUGUGAACAUCCACCAAUUAUAAAAGUCUUAGUAAAAACUUAUAAUAGAAGAAUGAAGGAAUGGCCUUGGCUUCAAUCUUAUGCAUUAUGGGCUGAUCAAAUAAUACAUAGUUUAGUGAUAGGAUAUAUUCUAGUAGAAUUUAUAACAAGUUAAAAACCUAUUAUAUCAAUUAAAAAAUAUGUGCCAACUUAGAAUAUACUAUUAUCAAAGACAUGAAUCUUGAAGAAAGAAAAUCUUCAAUACACUCUUGUGUCACUGAAAGAAACAAGAAAGUCACUCAAAGAUGAUAUAAUAUUAAAUUAGAAUGGCUAUUAUCAAAAAUAAGAAGACUAAAAAUUCUUGAAUUAAGACUAAGGACUAAUAAGACAUUGAAAAAAAGUGAAGAAGGCUUGAGUCUUGCUUCUAUAUAUAUUCUUAACUAGGAACUAUGUGGCAAUAUCCUACACAACCUCUAAAACAUAUUGACUUUGUAAGCUACAUUGUUGUGAUGUAAUACAACUAAUAGGUGAAAGAGUGUAGAAAUUAUCAUAAUAUAGGAGAUCUUAGUUUAAAGUAUGAAAGAAAAUUAUCUUAAAAAUACAAUUAAUAGUAAAAAAGGUAGUAAAACUAAAAAGUAUUAAUAUUGCCUUUUACAAAAUAGCCUUCUAUUUACUUUGUUGGACCAUAAAUAAAGCAAAAUAAAGCAGAUUAGGAAAAUAAAGAUUAUGAACAUUUAUAAGAGAAAAUUAAGAAUUUAUUUUUAUAAAAAUUAACUCAAAAAGACAAAAUUUGAUAUUUGAAUAGGACCAGUUAUCAACCUAGGUCAAAAGCAAAAUUGAGGCACAAAACCGAGCACUUAUUGUUUUUGUGAAAUAAAAUAAAAUUGAUAUUUUAGGCGAUUUUGAGAGUUUAUAAUAGAUCUAUGAGUGGAAUUUUGUGGAUUAAUGGUUAUAGUUGUGCUUAAUAUGUGUUGUAAAUUUUAGCUUGAUCUAAUAGUUGAAUUGAGGAUUAUUGAAGUUUAAGUGGGUCAAGGUCUUAAAAAGUAGAAUUUUAGAUCUAAUGAGGGUUUUUAAGAUUUCUUGCAAUCUAUUAGUUGAAUUGGGGUAAAAUUUAUGUAUAAAGAUAGUAGACUUGUUUUAAUAUGUAUAUAAGAAUUUUGAAAUCAAUCAAAUAAUGAAAAAGAGAGAUAUUGGCUUUGAAAGAUUAGCAUCAAGGUCAGAGAAGAAGGCUAGCUAAUAUCCGAGCAUGUAUUUGAGAUUAUUGUCUAUUUGGUAAUUCUAUUUUUUUUUUUUUUUUUUUUUUUUGUGCUUAUUAUCAAAUCAAUUGAAUUAAAAUCAACGGUUCAUUCAUUAGUUACUGAGAUUCAAAUUUUUUUUACGAAUUACUUGGGAUUAUUUAGAAUUUGGUUUAGGGUUUAGGAUUUAAGAUUUAGGAUUUAGGAUUUAGAGUUUGAUUUAGGAUUUAGGAUUUGGUUUAGGAUUAAGGGUUUGAUUAGGAUUUGAUUUAAGAUUUAGGAUUUGAUUAAGAUUUGGUUUAAAAUUUAGGAUUUGGUUAGGAUUUGAUUAGGGUUAGAUUUUGAUUAGGAUUUAGGUUAGGAUUUAAGAUUUAGUUAGGAUUUGGUUUAGGAUUUAGGAUUUGGUUAAGAUUUGAUUUAGAAUUAGGAUUUGAUUAAAAGUUGAUUUAGGAUUUAGGAUUUGAUUAGGAUUUGAUGUAGGAUUUAAGAUUUGAUUAAAAUUUAAUUUAGGGUUUAAGAUUUUAUUAAAAUUUGAUUAAGAUUUAUUUAGGAUUUUUUUAAGAUUUAAGAUUUAGUUAGUUUUUGGCCUAAAGUUUGAAUGAAGUCCAAUAGGAUUUUAACUAGGAUUAAAUUAAGAUUGGAUUGAGAUUUAUUUGAGAUAUAUUUGUGAUCAUUCUAAAAAAUUUUAAAGAUUUUUUAUUGUUUUUUUAUAAUUUCUUUAAGAUUUCUUUGAAUUUGAUUAAAGCUUACUUAACAUUAUUAG
rnacentral:lncRNA from 1 species